rnacentral:lncRNA from 1 species
CGUUUGUAACCUCUUCCGCAAACUUGAGUGCUUGAGCCCAAAAAUAUGAUCCAUCACAACUGACUGGAGCUAGAGCCAGGCCAAACAAGCCCUAUGUAUAGAAAAUGUGAUGGUAAGUCCUAGUACUUCUCAAGCUAGCAGGACAAUAAAAACAAUAAAAGAAAUAAAAUACAAUUCACAUUUCAUCUAGAAGCAAAGUGAACACAUAGCAAGUCUUCUCUUAUAGGUCAUGAUUUGCCUUCAUAUUAUUCUUGGAUACACCAGGUAGCCACUCGAAGAACACUUGGAGAUACAAGCUUAGGCUGCGAUGGGGAGUGCUCCUCGCGCUUGUAAACGGAUGUUUUCCACAAUCUCUUCUUAUUAUUAAUCAAAGCCGGUAACGUUCGGAUCUUUCAAAAAAAAACACGAGCAUAAUAGUAUUGGAGAUAAAUUAUAUAUCUAUGUAUUUACAGUGCCAGACAAUAUAUGAUCACAGAGGACAGAACAUAAAGAGAGAUAGGUAUAUAGAGGAUGAAAAAACAAAUCUCUUCAGCUUCCCUUGUUGGUAGAAUAUAUGUUAUAGAGACAGAGUACUGCAUCUUUUGGCGCUGUCAACUAGGCCUUUUUGUCAAGCCAUGCAUGCAUCACCUUGCAAAGUGCCCUCGAGGAAAACAUGGUGCCCUUUUCCGCUGCUGUAUUUUUCAUGGCCACCUUCCAUAGUUCCAUCCAUCAUAGAGCAUAUAUAUAAGUAUAUACUUAUAUAUAUAUAUAUAAUCUGAUUCGUCAGAUAGCACUUUCUCGUUUUGUCAUAAAAAGCACGUCUGUUUUCUUCUGAUUGGAAGGUACAGCCGGAAAACAUAAAGAAAGGGUGCAAAUUAAAGAAAAUCAGAGAUGAGCGAAGCGCGCGAGGGACAAAAGGAAACAAAAGGGCCGCCGGCUUCUGCUGCUAGCUAGGCAGUCGUCUUCCUUGCAGACGUCCGGUGAGAAGACGUCGUGGAUCGUCGCAUAAAUGCCGAUGAGUACACACAUUGUAUAUAUGACUCAACAGCUGACCUAACGUCCACUGUACAGCUAGAUCUACUAUAGCCUGAUCGACCUGAUUCCUCUUACUCAAACAUAUGCAGCUGGCAGGGUGCAUACUAUGAACCUACUAUAUCUCGUCUACUUUAUCUGCCUUCAAAAUACUCCUGCUUUUAUUUCUAACUUUGGAAAGAGAUUCUGCUGCAUGUCUCCUCUAGCUAUAUCUCGUUAUUUACUAUAUGAUUCAUGGGGAUAUUUACCACAAUGUUAUAGUAAAUCUUACUUAGGAGAGAGUUACAUGAAUCUCGUAAAUUAGUACACGGUAGUUAUCGUAACCAAAGUGGUCAUAGAAUAAGUUAUUCCAUGACCAACUACAAAACAAUACUUAUAUAUAUAAAAACAUAAACAAAUACCAUGAAUGUGCUCAGGGACGGGGAUUAUAUAUAUCUGAGCUCAGCUGUUCACAUUGUACGUGGACGACACUGUGCAUGUGGCCGACUACACACCUUUAUCAAGAUCUCAAUGUCACGUACUACAGGCCUAUAGUAUAGAAUGGGCGCCAUGUGUACCAUGUCCACUGCAUGUCGUCUUAGCUUGUUGGCGUCGUCGACGUUAUUAUGAAUCCAUCUACUUAGAAAUUAAUUAAGACAAAGCAUGCAUGAAAGCUACGGAGUUAGGUGAGGCAGCGAGAGAAAAUUAAAGCUACCGUGUGACAAGAUGUGUUCUCGCUCUCUAGUCUCUACUUUUACUAUUUUACUUUUCACCUGAUCGAUUGAAAUCACGAUCGAAAGUUACCUGACAUGUGCAUCAUUUUUCCCCUUGGUUUUUACUACCGGCACAUGAUUCUCAUGACAAUGAUCUCCCAACGGCAUAUUAUGCCGCUAACCUUUUUUUUUCACUCACGCACGCACGGCUCGGGCUUUCAUUAGCUUCUUCAUUUCACAUGAAAAAGCCAAAGCCAGUGCAAAUAAAGCAUAUUCUGAAUCGACUAGGUCAGAUCGUUUUCGAAGAAGUAGAAGCUGGAAAUGAACAAAUCAAUAAAAGAUGCAUGUAUAUGCGGCCAUCUUGUCUCGGCUUCUCCGGUAAGCUGGAUUCUUGACGAGGCACAGCUACCAAAUGAAGGGACCCAUGCAUGUUGCCGUCACCCACACACUUAACAUAAUGUUUUUCUCUAAUGAAUGAAGUAAACAACACACAUACACACACAACAUCUAUGUCUGAUGAUAUAUGAUAAAGGUUUACAAGUUAUAUGAAGGUAGCAUGUGGUGGUUAAAAAAAGGGAGAAGUCUAGUAUGGUGGAUAGAUGCUUUGGGUCUGAUCAACCAUGAUUAGAUGUUGGGCCAUGCAUGGCAGACACAACUUGGUCCUCUGCCCAUGGGCUUUUGCCCUAAGACGUUGAGCCUAAUAAUGGACUCUUCUGUGGUCCUUACUCCCCUAUACGGUUGACUCGCUUGCUCAAUAAUGCACUAGCACUAACUCUAUAUAGUUUUCUCAAAAAAAUGCCUAGUACUCUUGAUAGUUUCUACCGAGACGACGUACUCCAUCCAUCCAAAAUAAAAUUUCUAGCUAGAGUUUUCCUAAUAUUAUUUUUAAAUUUGACUAAAUUUAUUUGAAAGUGAGCCAAUAUUUCAUAAUUUACUUAUUUGGUGUCAUAAAUGUUAUUGUUCUUUACUAAAGUUGGUUAAACUCAAGACAUUUUGGCUUACGAUGAUUCUAGAAAGUUAAUUUAUUUCCAGAUAGAGGAAGUAUAUAUAUAUUCCUUCCACAGCAUCCUUCUAUCCCACUCCAUAUAUAUAUUACUUGCGGUUUUAACCUUAGGCAUAUAUGAUAAAGAUAAUUACCAUCCUAUUAUAUUCUUUGUUAAUCCUCCCUAAAGUGCGUGUUACGAUGUCAAUUCAAAACACACACCCGUGUUACGAUGUCAAUUCAAAACACACACCCGUUACCCUGCCAUAUGUACUAGGUAAGGCCAUGCCCAACGCUCCAACCUGGAGUGCUGCCCCAACUUACACCUAUGCAACUGAUGUCCAAAUCAUUACUAGUGUUAGCUUCAAAUAGUGUCAGAUUCUCAUGCAGAGGAAGUAUUGGCUUGCUCUGACAAAAAUUUGAAGCAGCACCAUAUCUUGCGUUGUGGCAUGGAAGAGCACAUAAAAAGCUGAGAAACUCUGGCCAAAAGCUGAGCUAGUGCUGAACCAUAGCAGAGGCAAGAUGUUGCUUGCGUUGAGAGAGUAUUAGCCCCAACUCAUUUCAGGACUAGGUGGAGCGCAACUUUAUGGUAACCAAGGAGUUAAGCAGAGGUAAGACUGAAAAAAAGUAGGUCAAAUAAAGUUGCCCCGAGGUUGUGAAACAAGAAUUUUCACUAAUAGUACUAAGAUUAAACAAAUGGAGGACAGAAGUAGCUUCGUAUGGUAUUUGACUAAAGGAUUUGGGUUUUCAUCGCGACCGUGUGUUGGCUGCCAAAAAUUAAGCAAGAAAAUCAUAACCGGUCAUACAUAUUACAGACUUGAAUUACUAGUUACUUACUAUGAAGGGACCCAUGCAAGCACAUGGCCCCUCAUUUCUCAGAUCUUUUGAGCAAGCACUAAUAAAUCCGACCACUUGUUUGCUAACAAAAAUAACUAAUUGGGUAAUUAUGCUUUUAGUUAACAAACCUUUGUCUUCAAGCACUGCAUGCCACUGGUGCAUAUACUCACUAAGUCACGGUCCAACAGUUGGAGACUGGCACAUCACUAGCUUAGCAACUAGCUAGCAGUUUGGUGGGAUGUUCUAGCCAAAUUAUAUCUGUAGGUUUCAUGGUUUCCCCAUCAAAUAUACAUAUAUGCAGAUUAUAUAUGAUAUUAAUUUAGCCUGAUGCAUGAUGGUUCUUUACUAUGGUAAGAAAUCGGUUAUUCCAGUAUCAGGAAGGAAGUUCUAGCACUACUACAGAUAUUUCAUCGCCGCUAUUUUCAUAAGUUAGAGAUGAUAGUGAGUGGUGAUGUGAAUCGGCACCAUCAUCGGUUUGGAAGAGAGGCGUUGGAAACAAAAAAAAAAGCAUAGCCGCAGCUGCUACCGCACAAAGUGAACUAUACGUUGUUCAUAAAUAGAUACAUCUCCCACAUAGUUUCAUGAAAGUUAUAUGAGAGAUGUGUCAUUUGUGAACAAUGUAUGACACCCCAUCUUAAAAGCAUCUCAAAUUUUUAUUGGGACAUUAUAUACCAAAGACAUGUUUUCAUUCAAAUUUGUAGGAUUUUGAAUUAUUAGAAUUAUUUUAUGUUAAUUUGGAUAUAGAAGGAUGAAUUAUCUAUAGCAAACAAAUGUGUUUUCCCAUCCAUCUCUCGAUAUGACCUAGAUUGAAACAUAUAAGCAUAAAUAUAAAUUUUAUAAUUUUCUUGGAAUCUUAUUGGAGACAUCUACUAUUUAAUUUGGAAUUACUUUCGAUAAGUUUGCAAAAAUUCAUUUAAACUAUAGAAUAUAUUAAAACAGUUCUAAUAAAAUUCUUAAAACUUCUACAGAACAAUAUGUGUUAGCCUGUUUUAUGUACAAAAAGUUUGGAGCAUGAAAGAUAUAUCUUAAAGUUUGUUUCCCAAGGUGCUUUCUCUAAUACAUGAAUGAAAAAGAAUAUAUGCAAAAGAACAAAGAAAUAAUAAUUUAGUACCAAACCAAUGUUGUUAAUUGGUAAUUCAGGAUUUUAGAGAAAACUAGGAGAAAUAAACAUAUCAUUUGGAGUUAGCAAGAGGCAAAAAGGCUAGUUAGAAAAUUUCAUCAUGCAUCAAAAAGAGAAAAACUUGUGUUCAUGUAAUUACCCUGACAGUUUAUUUAAUAACCAUAAAAAAUACAAAACCAUCAAGGUAAUUCAAUUUACCCUGACGGUUUAUGCCAUUUUAUUUCUUAAGGGCUAUGCGCACUCUCAAAGUUAAUUACGAAUUAACCUGGCGGUUUUUUAGUUUUUCUGUGUUUUCUAAAAAACCGUCAAGGUAACUCUAUUUACUCCUACGGUUACUUAAUUUUCCUGUGUGUUUUUGAGGAACUGUCAUGGUAAAUUUAUUUACCCUGACGGUUUCUACAAUAACCGUCAAGGUAUUUGAAAUCGCAGGGAAUUUCAAGUUUCCAUAGUAGAGGCGUUGGAAGAAAAAAAAGCAUAGCCGCAGCUGCUACCGCACGUCUGCGCCCGCUGCCAUCCACACUUGUGGCCCAUCCAUGCCAUUGGUUGUGCUUAUCCACACUGUCACCAGAUGUCCAUAUUGCUAAUAAGUAGCCUCGACAUAGAUUUAGCCACACCUGCACCGCCACACCUCGCCAGUGCCACCAUGGUGCCGCACCUUGUCCUAGGGAUGCGCCACACCGGCUCUGAUCUGCCUCUCUUGUUGGUCGUGGAGGAGCAAGGACCGGCCCAGAUCUAUAGCACCCGAGGAACGGCAGGGCAGGAGUAGGAGCAAGUGGCGGUGGCUGUACAAGAGGAGGAUGGAUGCGGGCAGGGGCAAGGGGUGAGGAGAUAGAGGGGACAGUUAGGUGUAGAAUAUUAUUCUACACCAAACUGUUAUACUGAGCAAAAUUCAGUAUCACUCAGUAUUCGUGUUUCAGUAUACGGUAGCGCUAUUUUAGACCCUAGGUGUAGAAUAAUAUUCUACACCAUAAGCCAAAACUAAGUAGAAAAAAUAGUGAGCAGUACUGAACAACGUUCAGUAUCAUACAGCCGUACACUCAGGACCACAAACUACUGAACAAUACUGAAAUACGAGUACUGAACAAUACUGAAUUCUGUUCAGUAUAACUGUUUGGUGUAGAAUAGAAUAGCACUUGUAUAUAUUCUACACCAAACAGUUAUACUGAACAUAAUUCAGUAUUAUUCAGUACUCGUGUUUCAGUAUUGUUCAGUAUUUCGUGGUCCUAGGUAUACAAUUGGAUGAUAUAUAUAUAUAUAUAUAUAUAUAUAUAUAUAUAUAUAUAUGGGCUCGAUUUUCACUAUCAGUUUGUGGUUUGAAGAGGUGGUGAAAACUGCCUUGGUUUUCACGGCCGUGAAAAUUAUUUUUACUAUCAGUUUGUAAUGAAAACCGAUGGUGAAAAUAUAUCAUCAUCAGUUUUAAUUAAUAGAAUCGGCUGUGAAAAUUGCGUUGGCAUAUUUUGUGUUGGAUGAUGAAAUGAGCUGUGGGCCCCCAAAUACAGGCGCUUUGCAUAUAUGCAGCCAGUGGUGCGUGGAUGCAUUAUAUAUAUUGUUUUUAAGAAAAUUCCAAAACAUAUAUGCAGCUACUGGUGCAUGCAUGCACAAAGACUCCUGGUGAGAGAAAGGGAUGUGUAUAUAUAUAUAUAUAUAUAUAUAUAUAUAUAUAUAUAUAUAUAUAUAUAUAUAUAUAUAUAUAUAUAUAUGUAUAUAUAUAUAAUAUAUAGGGGACAAUUUAUCCAUUCUACUCAACCCUUGCAUCCAUGAUUCGUUGAUUCUAUGAACAAGGAGCCAAAUGCACCUAUGUUCCUAUAUAUGAUUGUCAUUGAUCUAAGUUCCAUGCAUGAACACGUCAGGAGAAUUAUCACUGCUGCAUGAUCGGGCAUUAGCACCGGUCGGGAAGGGCCUGUUGCCCCGGUUCCCGAGCCGGUGCUGCCCUUCCGGGACUAAAGGCCCACCCUUUAGUCCCGGUUCGGCCAACCGGUGCUAAAGGCCCCCCCUUUAACACCGGUUGUAACACCAACCGGGUUAAAGGGUCCUGCCAGGGCUGCCACGUUGCAGGACCCUUUAACACCGGUUGGUGUUACCAACCGGUGUUAAAGGGUUUCUUUUUCUUUUUUUUUAGUUCACUUCUUCGGUUCUGUUUAUUGUUUAUAUAUAAUAUAUAAUAAUAGGUUUUUCAAUACAUGUUUUGCUGAUACAAUAAUAUAUUUAUAUUACACGCAUAUUAAGCAUAUAUAAAUGAAAAUUAUAGGCUAAGCUUAAUAGUUAAGCUUUGCCUAUAAUAAAAUGAAUAGACCACAUCAAAAAUUAAAUAGAUAUGUAAAAAGCUUUAUAUAUAUAUAGUUUUAUAUGUACAAAAUUCGUAACACAUAUAUACAUAGAGUUUGUUCUCCCAAUGUCUACAAACGAUACAAAUGAUCAUCGUUGUUUGGUAUAAGAGUUUCGUUGCCGUUGAAGUGAAACUCGCCGUUUGGAUUGAUCACUUGGUCGCGGAGAAAUCCUGCUAUCGUCUCUUGGAUAGCUUUGAUUCGGUCUUGUUGUAGGACCUUUUCCCUCAGCCAUUCCGUCUUUAAUUUGAAAUAAAUAAAAAAGGUAUUAGUUAUCUAAGUUAUUCAAUAUAAUUCAGGAGAUAAUGAAAAGAGACAUGUAACGUACUCUGAGCGUCUCUGUGGGUGUUUGAUUGACUUGUGCCAUCAUGAAUUUGCACACGUAAUAUGCACAUAGAUUGUUCCCUCCUUCUUGUCUUAAACACCACUGUACGAUGUAUAUAUAUAUAAAAAUAUUCAUAACCACGACAAUAAGAAGGCUAAAAGUUAGCGAAAGUUUGUUAGCUAGUAGAACUUACUUGUGGAUGUAUUAUGUUAAGCGGCGCUUUACAUCCACUGAGAUGUUCACGGUCAAUGAAUCUUUCCCAAACCCUAUACACAGCCAUUGUGGAUCGUGAACUAAUAAUUACAGAGUCAUAUUAUGAUAUUUUUGUAGCUGAAAUCGACAUUACGUACCUUUGAAUAAUGUUUACCAUUUGUUGAUAAUUUUCUUGUGGUUUUCUCAUUGAGUCAAAGAUUAUCAAUCGGUUCUUGGGAAUUUCAAUGACCAUGAGUAUCCAGUGAAAGCUGUUUACACACACAUAUAUAGGGUCAGUCCUAUAAUGUAAAAUAAAAUAUGCAUGCACUUAAUAACUAUAUAACUCACUCGAAGUUGAAGGGGAAGAGUAUUUUUUGUUUUUCUUUUUGGUUUACAAAGAACCUCAUAAGAUUGGUGCAGAUUUCUGUCUCAUAAUCUGCUGUCCACACUGCCUGCGGAGCCUUGAAAACAAUAUAAGGGUCAACGAACCCAAUACUAUUGUCAUUUCUCAUUCUGAGCUCUCUCAUUUGGUGCCUGCAUAUAUACAUACAAAUCCUAAGUGUGUAAGGAUUAUAUACAUGUAAUUAAAGAAGUUAGAAGUAUAAUAAAAAGAAAAAAUACUUACAGACAAAAGCAGCUGACAAGAGAUUUGUCAAGAGCGUCGAGGUGGCAUAAUUGGUGCAAUUCUUCGAACUGCACGUAUAUGAGGUCAUCUCCACGGAAGUAGUGAUGUUGUCUAAUACGAACAGAAAUCCAAUUCUCUCCCCUUUUAGACGCCUCAAUGCACCAUUUGUUUAUUGCAAACAUUUGUGUGCCGAGCUCGUGUAAACGCUUAGGGUCGAAUAGACUCCUGCCCGGUUCAUAUCUUGCCCUCCAUUGAUCAACUACCUCGGCUUUUUCAAAUGUAUGACAUCCAAGAAUGGCGGUAAUUUCUUCUAUAUUUAAACCGCUCUGUCCAAAGUAACUCUCAAGCGAGUCUAGCUCAGACAACGCUAAGGAUUUCUUUGGCAUCAAGUCUUCAUUUGAGCCGUAUUGAUUUGGCACAAUCAAAGGGGGCACCGGUUUUGAUACUUCUCCGAGCUGUGGGACCCCCUUUCCUACUCUCUUCUUAGUAGGCUGUGAAGACUUGACCAGAGACCGCUCAUAGUCCGAAAGUGCUGGCUUUUUCUGAGCUUCGCGUUGCUUCUUUUGAUGGUCCGCCACCUUCUGCCUCAGUUCCGAUGGCUUCACAUAAAAGUACGGCUUUUCUGGGUUAAGCCGUUUUUUCCUUUCCUCCUUUAUUUUAUCAAAAAAUUGUUGGACCUCAGCUUUAGAUGUAGCAAUUACCUCCUCUUCACUCUUUUCGUAAGGUAAUUUUUCUGGCGUCUUAGCUCUCUUUGCUGAGGCAGCCUUCUUUGGAGGUGGGACCGAUGACUUCGGUCCUUCUUGGACGGACCGCUUCUUACUACCUCGCUUUGGAGGCGAGGGGACCGACCGUGCACUCUUUGGAGAGGGCGGUGCAGGCGGAGGAGUUGGAGAACGCGGUGGAGGAGUUGGAGACCUCGGUGGAGGAGGUGGAGACCGUGGUGGAGGCGGUGGCGGGGUCGGUGUGGCCGCCGCAGGUGUUGGAGGAGAUCCAGCAUUGUCACCGCCCGCAGCACUAUGAUGCGCUGGGGAGAGAACUGGACUUAGGUUGGAGGAGUCCCUGCAAAGAAAACAAUUACAAGUUUUGUGAGUAAACUUUUUUUAAAUUUCAAUACAUAAUAAAUAAUAUAAGAAGUAAAAUCACACACAAACCUAUGCUGAGGAAUAAUUAUGAAGCGCUUGCGCCAACAAAUAAAUGUCUUCUCAGCUUCACCUAAGGUCUUCUCUCCGUCUCCCCCUUCUAUGUCUAGUGGCACAUUGCCACAACCUUUCUCAACCCUAUCAACCGAGACGCUAGCAUAUCCACCAGGUACUGGUCGAUUAUGGAUUCUUGGAGUGCCCGUUCGGUCGAUAGGGUUGACAACAGCGAUAGCCACCUUUUUGGUGGCAUUCCCAUCUGGUACAUGCAGCUCACAGGUAGUAAAAGCCUCUGUGACAUCAUCCACGGGGAAGUGUAGCUUCGUGUCAUCCUGAAUGGUUGGUACUUCCGUGGAUGCGCAGCUGCUUUUCAACUGGCCUGGGGGGCUAACAUUGACCUCGGGCUGUGAUGUACCUUGCCCUUUCGUCAUUUGACUAAGUGCUGCUUGCACUUGCCUUUGAAUCUCUGCCUGCAUCCAUUCUUCACGAGCUUUCUCGCGCUCUUGUGACUGCAGAACAAAAGCUUCCAGGCGGCGGAUCCGCUCUGCCUCCUCAUCCUUCUUUCUCUGGCGGCUUCUGUAGGUAUCUUGAUCGGCUUGGAAUGAUUGCAGCCACGGAACUGCCCCAUAGCCUCUCGUACGCCCACCGUGCUCAGGAUUUUCAAGCGCAUAGGUGAGUUCAUCCUUCUCCCUGUUAGGCCUGAACUCACCAGACUGAACCGCCUCACGUGCACGGACUAGUCUCUCUGCUGCUCUUGAGAUUUCUUGGCCCCAAACUAGCGCCCCGGUGUCUGGGUCCACGCUUCCCCCAUGACCGUAGAACCAAUGCUUGGAGCGCUCGCUCCAAUUCUUUGCUAUUGUCUCGGGUGUGACCCCCCUAGCAAGCAUCUCCUGUUCCAUUCGGUCCCACUUGGGAGCAGCACUCUUAUAACCACCUGAUCCCAUAUGAUGGUGGUAUGCCUUUUUACUGGCAUUUUCUUUGUUUCUAUUGGCUCGUUCCUCGCCCUCUUCUGAUGUUUUGUACUGCACAAAGUCAUCCCAGAAGGCCCUCAGCUUUACAUAUUGCUUGAGGUUGAAAUCUGGAGUCUCGUUUUUCUUGACAUAUUUAUUGUACAAAGACUUCUUCCAAUUCUGGAAGAGUACUGCCAUCUUCUUCAUAGUCCAGUCAUAAAUUCGCACCUUCAACUCUUCAUCGUUGGUGUCGAAGGUGAAAACGUCUGUGACGGCUUUCCAAACUAACUCCUUGUCACGAUCAGAGACAAAACUGAUCUCAGGAGCACCUCGCUUCUCUCUCCAUUCACGACAACUGAUCGGUAUUUGAUCUCUCACAAGAUAUCCACAGUGAUUAACAUAUUUAUUUGCAUGCUCACCAAGUGGUCUGCCUGUAGCUAUCUCAAACUCAGAGAUUACAUAGCGGCCCUCCAACGGCUUCUUUGGUCCUCGUGGAGGUACGCUUCUCCCCGUAGAGGUCGAUCCAGAAGGCUACACGUACAUAUAGAAACAAAAAUACUAAAUUAAUAACCAAGUAAUAAGUCUAAAACCUAAUGUAAGAGAUGCAUUAUUUAUAUAUGUUUACAUUUACAUACCUCGCCAGUAUUUUCUUCUUGUUGCACGACAAGUUGUUGUUCAGGGGCAUUGCCCUCUUGUUGCUCAGGGGCAUUGCCCUCUUGUUGCUCAGUACGAUUGCCUUGCAUGAUGUCGUGGUAAUCAACGAAGUACUGACUACCGUCGUCGAUUAUAUUUUGAAUGGCAGCUUCCAUAUAAUCAGGAUCAUCAUGAGGAUGGUCAGCCAUUUCUAUGUCUGCAACCAUACAUAUAUAUAUAUUCUAUAUAAGAUAAGAAAUACACUAAUACUACUACAAAUGAAAGUGUUGGAGUGCUCUAAAAAUAAUACUAGGAUCUUUUAAGCCAAGUAAUACAUUAAUAAAAAAAAGUAGAAUAAUAUAUAGUACAAACAAAAAUAUAUACAAAACCCUACUAGAAUAAAUUUAGUGGCUAAACACUACUAGAACAUAUAUUAGAGACUUAUAUACUACUACUAGUACUACUACAAAUUAAAGUGUUGGAGUGCUCUAAAAAUAAUACUAGAAUCUUUUAAGCCAAGUAAUACACUAGAAUAAAAACAAUACUAGAAUAAUAUAGUACAAACAAUAAUAUUUACAAAACACUAGAAAAUAAAAUAUGAUACAAGAAUAAUAUACAACAAAUAUAUACUAAAAAAACUACUACAAAUAAUAUAUUAAAAAAAUAAUACAUUCAUACAUACAAACUAUAUAUAUGUGUGUGUAUAUAUGUACAAAAAAUAAUACAUAUAUACAAAAAAUAAAACAUACAUACAUACUAUAUAUAUACUACAAAUAAUAUAUUAAAAAAAUAAUACAUACAUACAUACAUACAUACAAACAAUUAUAAUUCAUACAUACAAACUAUAUAUAUGUGUGUGUAUAUAUAUGUACAAAAAAUAAUAUACAUACAUACAAAAAAUAAUACAUAUAUACAAAAAAUAAAACAUACAUACAUACUAUAUAUAUAUACUAGAAUAAUAUAUUAAAAAAAUAAUACAUACAUACAAACAAUUAUAAUUCAUACAUACAAACUAUAUAUAUGUGUGUAUAUAUGUACAAAAAAAAUAUACAUACAUACAAAAAAUAUUACAUAUAUAUAUAUAUACAUAAAAAUAUAUACAAAAAAUAAUACAACAAAUCAAAACACCAUAUAUACAUAAAAAUAUAUAAAUGUAUAUAUAUGUAUAUGGUGUUUUGAUUUGUAGUAUUAAUUUAUGUAUAUACAUAAAAAUAUAUACAAAAAAUAAUACAACAAAUCAAAACACCAUAUAUACAUAAAAAUACAUAAAAAUAUAUAUAUGUAUAUGGUGUUUUGAUUUGUAGUAUUAAUUUAUGUAUAUAUAUGUAAUAUUUUUUGUAUAUAUAUUUCUGGUCUAGCUAGUCUAUAUAAAUACAUAAUUAAUCAAUGGCGUUCUCGAUCUAUACUUAGCAAGGCCGGCCGGAGCUAGAGAUCAGGGAAGAUCGACGUGGCCUGGAUGAUGUGUGGCCCGCGCGCUCGAUCUGGCCGUGGCCCGCGGCGGCGGCGUUGGAGGAGGGCCGCGGCGGCGCUGGUGGAGAGCCGCGGCGGCGCUGGUGGAGAUGGUGGUCGCGGCGGCGAGGGAGUCGAGAACGAAACGACGGCGGCGAGAACGAAACGACCGCGGCGGCGCUGGAACGAAGACGAAGACGAAAGAACUGCCGGAUCCAGGAAGCCGGCUGCUUAUAUAGGGGCGGACCCUUUAGCACCGGUUCCAGCCACGGACCGGUGCUAAAGGGUCCAGCGCGCGCUAGGGCGGGCUCCUGAAAUUUUCAGGACCCUUUAGCACCGGUUCCCACUAUGGGCCGGUGCUAAAGGCCCAUUUUUUUAGUUUAGGGUUUUUUAAUUGUUUUAUAUAUACAGUUUAUAUUAUAAAUUGUAUAGUAAAUUAAAUAUUUUGCAUAAUGUUUUUUAAACAGUGACAUAUAUUGUAAUUUGUUUUAAUAUACACAUGAAAACUUUUAAACUUAAAUAUCUUAUUGUAUUUUUAUAAUUUGCAAUGAUUUUGUAAGAAUUGUUUAGUAUUUUGUUAAUGCAAAAAUAUAUUAUUCCAAUAAAUUUACAAAAACUAUAUCCAAUGAACUGGAAAUUUAUUUUCACAUCAUAUUGACGUAAAACUUUUUAUUUUUGUUAUUUAUUACUAGGAAUGCUAGUUGGGUAUAAUUUUCAUCAAAUAAAAAAUAUAAAAAUAUAUAUCUUGAUGAACACACCCUUUGACCGAACCCUAGAUUGUCCCAAAUGGAAAAGUCAUGAAUACAAAGUUUGCUACACUCAUCAAGUUCUACAUUUUGUCUAAUGGUCAACUUUUCAUUUGGAAAAGUUUGAACCACUGAAUUUUGAAUUUUCAUAGAACUCAUAGCCACGCAGCGGUUUCGGAACCCUAGAUGGUCUCGAAUGGAAAAGUCAUGAAUACCAAUAUUGUUCCACUCAUCAAAAUCUACAUUUCAUAUACAGACCAUUUUUGCAUUUGACAAAGUUUUGGGAAGGUGUAGUUGAAAAUCCACAAUUGACACAUAUAGUUUCAUAUAGUUUGUGUGAGAUUCAAGAAUUGGUGGGUAUUGUUAACUUAGACUUUCUCAAAUGGAAAAGUUGUGUAUAUAAAAAGUUUAGAUCUUGAAGAUAUCUAACAACUUGGUAUUCAAAAUAUUUUCAUUUGAAGUAAUUUAGUUUGUCAUUUGACCAAAUUUGACCAAAACCCGUCUUGGAUUUUAUAGAAAUGUAAUUAGGAUUGGCUCAAAAUUAUCCAAAUGGAAAAAUGGACAAUAUAUAAAAUAUAGAUCUUGAUGAUCUCUAACAACUUUGUAUUCAAACUUUUUUCAUUUCAAGUCAUCAAAUGGGUUAUUUGACCAAGUUUGACCAAAGUCAAAGCAUUGGUUUUUACAAACACACCCUUUGACCGAACCCUAGAUUGUCCCAAAUGGAAAAGUCAUGAAUACAAAGUUUGCUACACUCAUCAAGUUCUACAUUUUGUCUAAUGGUCAACUUUUCAUUUGGAAAAGUUUGAACCACUGAAUUUUGAAUUUUCAUAGAACUCAUAGCCACGCAGCGGUUUCGGAACCCUAGAUGGUCUCGAAUGGAAAAGUCAUGAAUACCAAUAUUGUUCCACUCAUCAAAAUCUACAUUUCAUAUACAGAUCAUUUUUGCAUUUGACAAAGUUUUGGGAAGGUGUAGUUGAAAAUCCACAAUUGACACAUAUAGUUUCAUAUAGUUUGUGUGAGAACUUAGAAUUGGUGGGUAUUGUUAACUUAGAUUUUCUCAAAUGGAAAAGUUGUGUAUAUAAAAAGUUUAGAUCUUGAAGAUAUCUAACAACUUGGUAUUCAAAAUAUUUUCAUUUGAAGUAAUUUAGUUUGUCAUUUGACCAAGUUUGACCGAAACCCGUCUUGGAUUUUAUAGAAAUGUAACUAGAAUUGGCUCAAAAUUAUCAAAUGGAAAAAUGGACAAUAUAUAAAAUAUAGAUUUUGAUGAUCUCUAACAACUUUGUAUUCAAACUUUUUUCAUUUCAAGUCAUCAAAUGGGCUAUUUGACCAAGUUUGACCAAAGUCAAAGCAUUGGUUUUUACAAACACACCCUUUGACCGAACCCUAGAUUGUCUCAAAUGGAACAGUCAAGCCGACACAACAGUGAACUUCUUCUUGACGUAUGACCCUUGGUUAUGAUCCUGCCGUAACCAUGGAGUAUCCUCAUUGUUUAACAGAAUGCUUGGGUCUUUGUUGACUAUGAAGGGCGGAAUUCGAUCAUCCCUUUCGUAAUCGCCUGACAUGUCUGACUUGUCCUCAAUUCCGACAAUGUUUCUUUUCCCAGAAAGGACAAUGUGGCGCUUUGGCUCAUUGAUGAUUGAGUGGUCAUCAUUUUUUCCUCUCUUUGGUUUCGUAGACAUAUCUUUGACAUAGAACACCUGACUCACGUCUGCAGCAAGGACGAAUGGUUCGUCUUUGAACCCACUAUUGUUAAGGUCCACGGUUGUCAUCCCAUACUCCUUGUCGACUAUUACCCCACCUCCGGUCAUCUUCACCCAUUGGCACCGGAACAAAGGAACUUUAAAAUUAGCUGCAUAGACUAGUUCCCAUAUGUCUUCUAUGCGUCCAUAAUAUGUUUGCCUGUUCCCAUUUGGAUCCGUGGCAUCCACGCGUACACCACUAUUUUGGUUGGUGCUCCUUUUAUCUUGGCCAACUGUGUAAAAUGUGUUACCAUUUAUCUCGUACCCUUUGUAUGUGAGGACAUGCCAUGAUGGUUGCCUGGCCAACAAAUAAAGCUGCUCAUCAAUGUUUUCAUCACCUUGACAUUUUUUGCGCAACCAAUCGCCAAAAGUUUCCAUGUGCUGACGCAUUAUCCAAGCUUCAUUCUUCCCGGGCCACUGGGACCGUAGGUAAUCUUUGUGUACCUCAACAUAUGGUUCCACCAAUGAGGAGUUCUGGAGAACUGUGUAGUGUGCUUUAUUGAAGUAAUCGUUUCCCGUACCAAUAUAUGUUUUCUUCCCAAGUGUUCCCUUUCCGCUGAGUCUGCCCUCGUGUCGAGAUUCAGGAAUGCCAAUUGGGUCAAGGUCUGGAAUAAAGUCAACACAGAACUCUAUGACCUCCUCUGUUCCGUAGCCCUUGGCAAUGCUUCCUUCUGGCCGGGAACGACUAUGGACAUAUUUCUUUAGGACACCCAUGAAUCUCUCGAAGGGGAACAUGUUGUGUAGGAACACAGGACCGAGAAUACGAAUCUCUUUGACCAGAUGAACUAGGAGGUGUGUCAUGAUAUCGAAGAAGGAUGGAGGGAACACCAACUCAAAGCUGACGAGACAUUGAACGACAUCAUUCUGCAGAGUAGCUAGUUGCUCUGGAUUGAUUGCCUUCUGAGAAAUUGCAUUGAGGAAUGCACAUAGCUUUACGGUGGCUAGACGUACGUGUGGAGGUAGAAUUCCUCUUAAAACGACCGGCAGCAAUUGCGUCAUUAGAACGUGACAGUCAUGGGACUUCAAGUUCAGGAAUUUCUUUUCUGGCACAUUAAUUAUUCCCUUGAUAUUGGAGGAGAAUCCAGAUGGGACCUUGAUGCUGCUAAGACAUUCAAACAUGCUUUCCUUCUCUUCUUUGCUCAGAGUGUAGCUAGCAGGGCUUAAGUAAUGACGUCCAUCAUCUGUCUUUUCUGGAUGCAGGUUGUCUCGUUCUUUCAUGCGCUGCAAGUCUUGUCGUGCUUCAAGUGAAUCCUUAGACUUCCCGUAGACACCCAUGAAUCCGAGCAAGUUCACACAAAGAUUCUUUGUCAGGUGCAUCACGUCGAUCGCGUUGCGGACCUCUAGGACAUUCCAGUAAGGUAGCUCCCAAAAUAUGCAUUUCUUCUUCCACAUGGGUACGUGUCCCUUAGCAUCCUUGGGAAUAGGUUCGCUGCCUCGUCCCUUUCCAAAUACCACUUUUAUAUCCUUGACCAUUUCGAGUACAUCAUCCCCGGUUCGAUUGAGAGGUUUGGUCCGGUGGUCUGCCUUGCCUUUAAAAUGCUUGCCUUUCUUUCGUACUGGGUGGUUCAUAGGAAGAAACCGACGGUGGCCAAGGUACACGACCUUUCGACAUUUUUUCAAAAAUACACAGUCAAGGUCUUCAUAACAAUGUGUGCAUGCAUUAUAUCCCUUGUUUGACUGGCCUGAAAGAUUACUCAGAGCUGGCCAAUCAUUGAUUGUUACAAACAGCAAUGCUCGUAGGUCAAAGUGCUCUUGUUUAUACUCAUCCCACACGCGAACUCCUGGUUUGCUCCAUAAAAGUUGAAGUUCCUCAACUAAUGGCCUAAGGUAGACAUCUAUGUCAUUGCCAGGUUGCUUCGGUCCUUGGAUAAGCACCGGCAUCAUAAUAAACUUCCGCUUCAUGCAUAGCCAUGGAGGAAGGUUGUAGAUACAUAGAGUAACUGGCCAAGUGCUGUGACUACUGCUCUGCUCACCGAAAGGAUUCAUACCAUCUGUACUUAAGGCGAACCGCAAGUUUCUAGCAUCAUUUGCAAAAUCUGAGAAUUCUCUGUCUAUCGCUCUCCACUGGGAUCCAUCGGCAGGGUGUCUCAGCAUAUUGUCUAUCUUACGGUCUUCUUUAUGCCACCGCAACAACUUUGCAUUGUCCUUAUUUCUGAACAGACGUUUUAAUCGUGGUAUUAUAGGAGCAUACCACAUAACCUUGGCUGGAAUUUUCUUCCUAUGACGUUCUUCACCCUCAACAUCGCCAGGAUCAUCUCGUCUAAUCUUAUACCGUGAUGCCUUACAUACUGGACAUGCAUCCAAAUUCUCGUAUUCCUCCCCACGGUAGAGGAUGCAGUCAUUAGGACAUGCGUGUAUCUUCUGGAUUUCUAAUCCCAAAGGGCAGACAACCUGUUUUGCUUCAUACGUAGUGGUGGGCAAUUCGUUGCCUUUCGGAAGCAUCUUUUUUAUGAUCUUCAAUAACUGCCCAAAUGCCUUGUCAGAUGUACCAUUCUUUGCCUUCCAUUGCAGCAAUUCUAGUGUGGUACCCAGCUUUUUUUGCCCCUCUUCAGCGGUGGGAUAUAGCGAUUUCCUGUGGUCCUCUAGCAUGCGCUCGAACUUGGCUUUCUCUUUAUCACUUUCACAUUCUCUUUGUGCAUCACGGAUGGCAUCACCAAAAGCAUCAUCGCCCCGAUCAUCUUCUGCCGCCACCUCUUCUUCAUUAUCUCCCCCCAUUGCAACAUCAUUGAAGCCACCGUACUGAGCAAUAAUAUUGGCAUGGUCCAAUUCUUCUUCUUCUUCACCUUCAUCCAUUAUAAUCCCGCUUUCUCCAUGUUUGGUCCAACAAAUAUAGUUUGGUACGAAACCAGACUUUAAUAAGUGUGAAUGAAGAGUUCUUGAGUUAGAAUAUUCCGUCAAAUUCUUGCACACGGCACAUGGACAGCACAUGAAACCGUCCCUCUUAUUUGACUCGGCCACACUUAAGAAAUAGUGCACGCCAUUAAUGAACUCUUCGGAGCGCCGAUCGGCAUUAUACAUCCAAUUACGUGUUACCAUCUGCAUUAAAGAUAACAUAUAUAUUAUGAAAACCAUGCACACAUAUAGUUUCUCAUCUUAUUGCACAACAUGUCUAAGAUACAUAGUUGAUUAAUUUAGAAAAGCUUGGCUACAACAAAUACAAUCGCAACUAGCAUUAAAAAAAAUAAAACUAAAAUGCACUUAAGCAACAUAAUUAGUUCGCGUCCGAUCCCAACUAUAAUAGAUAGAUCAUUCGCUUGAUCAACUUCAUUGAACUUCUUUCGUCGGCUCACUGCCUCACCACCUUCAGCCUCAACCACCUGUGCAAAAGAUUUCUUAAUGUGUUCAAUGUAUUCUUCCUCCCAGUACCAACCUGUACAUCCGCCGGUACCGUCCCACUGAAAUUAAAAGAGAGAAUCAAAAGUUUAAUUAAUAUCAUUUAAAAAAAUAUGCACAUAUAUAAGCAAAUGUCUGGAAAUAACUCACAUUACGAUCUGGACACUUGUAGAAUAUACGACCCUUGUUUACUCCCUCUUUCGACACUUUGUACUCCAUCAAAAUCUUCUGCCCACACUUGCCACAAGUAAUGAGAGGGAGUUCCGGACGGUAUCGCUUUUGAACCCGUUGAGAGACGGAAGACCCGGUCACGGUUGCCAUCUACUAUCCAUACUCAAUUUUAAAACAAUUAUAAAUUCCACAUUUACUAGUAAACAUGUAUGAUACAAUGGACAUUAUAUGUAGUAAUAAAAAUAAAUCAAGUGAUAUUAACAAACCAAUUAAUUUGAACUAUCCUACUUUCUAUGAUCAUAAAAAUAUACUAUAAUUUAUUCUUGCAAAAUAUAUUAAAACUAGGUCAACCAUGAAAUAUGAUAUAUAUAUAUGGAUACUAAUUCAUGUGAAUGAUUCAAAAUAACAAAGUGGAUUUGAGCUAAAAAAUGAUGGGAACAUCACAAGCCAAAAACAACAUGAAAAAGAUAAGAAAGGCUGAAGUUAGUCACCUCUAAGCGCGAAGAGACGAUGACGGAGUCGAAGAAGAUCAACGAUGGGCGUUGGAGAUGAAGAACAAAUGAAGAACAAGCAAGAAGAAGCUCCAAGAACAACAAUGGCGCUCUCGGUUUCAAAUGGGCAGAGGGGAGGAGGGAGCCGGCCUAUAAACCGGACCUUUAGCACCGGUUCAGAGCAACAACCGGUGCUAAAGGGUUACCUUUUAGCACCGGUUUGUAACACAAACCGGUGCUAAAGGGUUUGCCUCGGCCCGGGGCUCUGGCCGGUGCUAAAGGGGUCUUUAACCCCGGGCCGCAAAAUGGCCGAGGUUUUUGGCCAUUUUAGGCAUCAACCAAUGCCUCAUUCUGUAGUAGUGUAUUAUUUCUGGCAAGACGUCCGGGGACAUGCAUGGUCACCUUCACAAGAACAUAAACAAUCUGUGAUCUGUUUUUUGUGCUUUGCUAUCUGCAACUUGCCGAACUCUCAUCAAUUAGCACUCAUUCAUCGCAUGACAAUAUGGUACUAGUAUAUAAUUAGACACGUACACACUUUGUACUUUAUUUUACCACCGGCCGAUAUGGACUGGAUUUCUGCUCUUCAAAUAUUUUUCUUGUUCUCUCUUUGUCAACUUAUGACACUAGUAAAACAAGGUUAACGGUGGUGGUUGUGUCUAAUUUGUACAAGCGGUUUCGAUUAUAGCGCGCUAGUGCAUAGAAAAUGACCGUCCGACUCAUAAACCAUGUAUAAACUACUUUCUAUAGGCGGUUCACUUAACAGAACCGUCAGUGGAAAUGGUGUCUUUCCACUGGCAGUUCAUUUAAAUGAACCGCCUAGAGAAAGUGAUUCACACUGGCGGUCGACUUAAAAAUCAGACAUUUACAUGAGCGGUUCAGUUAAGUGAACCGUCAGUGUAAAAGGUUCUCUGCAGACGAUUCUUUAAGCCAACCACCAAUGAAGUCUCUGGUAUAAAUACCCCUUCUUCCUCCCCGAGCAGAGUUGCUUCUCGCAGCCACCUUCCAUAGGAGGCCAUUUUGGAGGUCUAGUUUUCACUAAAUACAAGGGGAGAGGUUUUGAUCUUGAUUUCUUGGAAGGAGGUUGCUAAGAAAGGUUAGUUUAUGUCUCUCUUGCCUCUUUUUUUCCAUUUUAGCUCAAUUUGAGACACUUUUUGGAUAUAGGGUUUCACCAUGUGUUAGAUAGAAGAGUAGCUAGGUUAAUAUCUUUAUUUGCUCAAAUGAGGUUGCUUAAGAUGGUUAGAUGAUGUCUCUCCUCUCUCCCUUUUUAUUUUUGCUUCUCACUUUAGUUUAUCCAAGACUAAUGUAUGUAUUUCUAUGAAUUGUGUGUUCUUGUGUAUUUAUAUGGAGAGAGAAAUAUAUGUUAUCUUUGUUAGAUUUUUAAAUUUUAUAGUUUUUAUCUACAUUUUUUAAUUUGUAUGUUUUUAAAUUAUGUAGUUUGUGUUUUCAUUUCUUAAUUUAAUUUAAAUAUCCCUUAUUUAAUUAUCCACUAUGUAUUUAUAUAUGAAAGAGAUUUUGUGUUUAUUAAAUGAAAAAUAUGAAAAAGAUUUUGUGUUAAUAUCAUUCUUCUACCUUUCAGCGAACCUUGCUUUGAGGUCUUCAAAUUAGAAAAUAUAUAAGUGAGAGGUUUUCAUCUUCAUUUCUUUGAGGGAAGUUGGUGAUCAAAAGAUUAGAUAAUAAAUAUCUUCGGACGAUCAUACUUGUUUUGCAUUGAUUAUAAUUAAUUUAUUAUAUUUAUUUAGGUAAUGAUGGAGAGGUCAUUAUAGAUGUAUAAUUUAUCAAGAUUAGAUCCAUUACAUAUACUCGAGGUCCAUAGGUUUAUUGAUGCUGCUAAGAACCAUGCUUGGAGAACAAAGAUGAAGCACAUAUAUUGUCCCUACACAAACUGCAAAAAUAUUAUUGUAUUUGAUGACACUAAACCAAUCACUUCUCAUCUGGUCUGUUGAGAAUUUAUGAAGGAUUACUUGAUUUGAACAAAGCAUGGUGAGGAUAGCUCUGCGCCUUAUACAACUGAAAACCCUGAGAACAUCGACGCUGAUGGUCUAGACAUGAUUACUAAUAGAUUUUUGUUCGUACACGAGACACAACAACCUCUUCCCCAUAGCGAACAUGUUGUGCCAAAUAUUACGAUUAUAGAAGAUGUAGAAUUCUUAGAGGCAAUGUUGCGUCGUCAUAUGGAUCCAUCAAUGUUGUUAAUAAAAGAUAUGGAGGCCCUGAUGAAGGCUACAAAAGAGCCUUUAUACAAUGAGUUUAAGGGUUGUACCAAAAAGUUCAUAUUAUUGCGGUCUGUGCUAAAGUUGUUGGUAUUAAAAGCUAGAUAUGGUAUGUCUGAUGCUCACUUUAAUGCCUUUUUGAGUAUUAUCGCUGACAUUCUUCCAAAGGAGAAUAAAGUGUCUGCUAACAUGUACUAUACAAAGAAGCUAAUCUAUCCGCUCACUAUGAGUGUCGAUUAGAUCCACGCGUGUAGAAAUCACUAUAUUCUAUAUCGUGGUGAUGAUUAUAAGGACUUGGAGAGUUAUUCAAAGUGUGGUGCAAGUAGGUACAAGACGAAUAAAGACUAUAGGGAGGAAGAGUGUGAUGUCUCUGGAAAGAAGCGAAAGAAGACCCAAAAGAACAACCAAUAGAGUUCAAAACUCAGGAGCAAAGAAAAAGAAGUAGACUACUAUGCGCAGAAAAAGAUUCCUGCUCUGGUGAUAUGGUACCUUCCUAUGAUCGAUCGAUUGAGGUGUUUACUUACUAACCCAAAGGAUGCCAAACUUAUGAUCUGACAUGCUUCUGAUGAGCACAAAAGUGAUGGGAAGCUAAGGCACCCAGCCGAUGGCAAGCAGUGUCAAGAUUUUAAUGACAACCACCGAGACUUUGCUGACAAACCAAGAAAUGUUAGGUUUGCACUGAGUUCUGACGGAAUAAAUCUAUUUGCAGAGAGGAGCAUGAAGCACGACACAUGGCCGGUGAUCCUCACCAUUUAUAACAUUCCUCCAUGGUUGAUGCAAAAACAAAAGUACCUUUUGCUAACCAUUCUUUUUUCUAGAUCUACAGAAUCUAGGGUUGAUAUAUGUUUUUGGAGCCCUUAAUGGAGGACAUGAAAAUAUUGUGAGAAAUAGGUGUUCCAACGUUAGACGAGUACCGCAAAGAUUCAUUCAUGUUAAGAACAAUUAUUUUUGUUACGAUCAACGAUUACCUUGCUCUUUUCACAUUAUUAGGACAGUUCAAGGGAAAGGUUGGUUACGUAGUAUGCAUAGAUAGAACUACUUACGUGUUCCUUGAUGCAUCUAAAAAGUUAGUGUACAUGAGGCACAAACGCUUCUUAUCGAAAGGGCAUACGUAUUGCCUAAAAAAGAUGAAUAAGUACUUCAACAAUAAUGAUGAAGUACACUCUACUACACCAUUAGGUAAUAGUAAAGGCCAAAUAGUUUGCAAAAUCAAAUUUGUUUUUAGGAAGAAGGUAAAAGACAAAAAACUAAGAAAGGAUGCGAAACUAACUCUAGGGGCUACAUUAACAAAGAAGUCUAUUUUAUUUGAGUAGUUUCCUUAGUGGAAAAAGAAUUAGAUGUAUGCCACGCGAUCGAUGGUAUGCACAUUCAGAAGAAUGUGUUUGAAAGCUGAAUUAGCACCUUGCUAGACAUAAAGCGCAAGAAAAAAAAGGAAGGACUCAAUUCACGCAUGGACAUGGUACAGUCAGACAUAAAAAAGAACUUCACCCUAUUCUUCUAGAAAAUGGGAAGUACCAUCUUCCGGUAGCAAGCUAUAACCUCAACAUAGAUGAGAAACAUGCAAUGUGUGUGUGAUUAAAGAAUUUAAAAGUCACAUCUAGAUCCUGCUCCAGCAUACAGAGUAUUAUGUUAAUAAAAGACCUUUACACUCACCAACUACAACUCACAUGAUUGUCAUGUCAUGCUGACUACUUUCCUCCCUAUUACCACGAGGGCUAUAAAUCCUGUGUUCUUAAAGAUGACAGUCACACAGUUGUGCUACUUUUUCAACAAGAUCUCACAAAAAGGUAAUUGACAGUGAUGAGUUGGUGUCUCUUCAGGAAUUUUCUAUAGAGACAGUGUCACAAUUUGAGAUGUGUUUCCCCCCAUCAUUAUUCGACAUCAUGGUACACCUUGUGGUGUACUUGGUUCCAAAAAUACAGGUAUUGGGUCCCAUGUACUUGCAUGAAAUCUAGACGUGAGUGUUUCAUAUCAAUAAUAAAUAGCUAUGUAUAAACUCAUGCUCAUCUUAAGGCGUCUAUGGUAGAGGGGUAAUGUACCGAAGAGGCCAUUGAGUCCAGAGGUCUAUUCUGUAAUAGUGUCUUAAAAGACCAAGUUGCAAUAGGUCUACCUCCAUCAUGACAUGAGGGUAGGCUGCAUGGAAGUGGGAGAAUGAGAUGCAAAUCAUUCAUCUCGCCAGAUUACAAUACAGUCCUUGAGGCACAUCACAACAUCCUACAUUAGCUCUCGAUAAUGGAGCCUUUGGUCAAGCAACACAUGCAUGAGCUUCGCAAACAUAAUCAUUGGCAUACAAACGAUUGGGUAAUGAAGGAACUCAAGAUUCGGUUCAGCACAUGGUUAAUGGAGCAGGACAUUCCACCUGGGGAAAUAAUUGAGAAACAAACCAUCAAGGUGUUGGCAUCUAGGCCAUCAUGCCAGGUCUCGACAUGGCGGAUCUAUGACAUUAGUGGUUUCACGUUUUGUACCAAGUCUAAGGACAAAAAGAGCAUGGCACAAAACAACGGUGUUUGAUGUGAGGCCAUAGACGAUGAAACUGGUGAGAUUAGUACAUACUUUGGCUUCACUGAGGAUAUAUAAGAACUAGACUAUAGUGCAUUUCAGGUCUCUGUAUUUUGAUGUCAAUGGAUUGAAGACAAACAUAUCAUAGUGGAUAACUAUAGGGUUAGAGUUCUUGAUCUAAGUAAGGUAGGUUAUAAAGAUGACCCGUGGAUCCUUGCUAACCGUGCUGCACAGGUCUUCUAUAUAUGAUGAUCAGAACCUUUCUAAGAAUGAGAAGAAAAGUAAUGACAAGUCGAAGUAUAUAGUUUUUCAUGGAAAGCAACAAGUUAUAGGAGUUGGUGAUGUAUUUGAUCUGGAGGAUUUUAACCAGUUCAGCGAUAUGUCUCUCUUUACAUACCAUCGAGUGAAGAUAAAGAGUGUUGAGCAUAGCAACCCACACAAUUCCUUACCCUGGGUGCGCCCCGAUGGACAAGGAAAAACAAUAGAUGUCUAGAUUAAAUUUGUCAUUUCUCAUGAAUGUUAACAAUUUUCUCUAUAAAUUUGCCCAAACUUUUCAAAGUUUGGCUUAGGAAAACAGACUAGAACACAAAGCUUUCUUGGGACAGAGUGUACCUAACUAGCUAAAUCGAUUUGAUGUGUGAAAUUUAUGGCUAAAAUUUAGCUAGCAUUAUAUGUGCUACACUGUUUCUUGAAAUGCUUCACAACUAAUCACAUCUUAAUUUAUGCUCAUCACCCUGUUUGGUUAAAUGUCGAAAUAUCCAAGAUUAUAAUUUACACUAGUGGACCAUGCAAUGUGCCUCAUGUUUUUCUUGUUGCCACCUUCAUGGAAAGGGAAAGAUCAUUGUUAUCCUACUACUAGUAGGCUGACGCUGAGAAAGCUAAACUAGCUGAUAGCUCGUGUUGUCAUAUAUAAAUGUCUCAAGGAAAAACAAACUUAAUUUAUUGCCAAUGACAAAUGGAUAGAUUGCUAGAAUUACCUAGGCUAUGACAUUUCUACAAUUUAGCAUAUAUGCUACGAUCAAGCUUGAUUGGCCCAUUGACACCAAAUAGGUCUAUUAUGAAAUUAUGUUCCAUGACAUAAUCUAAGGAUAAUUAUUUGGUAACAUAAAUUAGUAACUUGGUCAAACAUUAUAUAGUUUGACUUAGACCAAAACUAAAAAACAUCAAGUUUUUUUGGGGCAGAGGUGUACCAUAUAUUGAUACUAGCUAAGUGAAUAUAGCUGUUUGUAGAAAGAAAAUCAACUACAUUUUGCCACAAGAAGAAAAUAAUUAUGACAUAUGUGGAAGAUCUGAAAAUGUGCUUUGAUAAAUGUCUCUCUGCAAAAAUGGUAACAUAAUGGCUAUCUAAAAAUGAAGGAGUGAGGACCCAGUAUAGCAGACUCGGCAUGCUUGACGACUCUUUCAAAUCAAAAUACAAUUCAAUUUCAGUGUGGAACUCAAUCAAUAAUUUUUGUCAUUCCAGAAUAGAUGACAAAGCCAAGCAGGCAAAAAUUUUCAACAUGAACGUCGAGGUACGGUGGUCUAUAUAUAUGUGGUCAAAUUCAAAAAACUAGAUACAAACGAUACAUAAAUAUAAUAGCUAGGAUGCAUAAUGGCGGGAACAAGUGCUGAAGUGCUCACUGGUCCCAAAAACAAUUUAACCUACUGCACGUUCCUUAAUUUUCUUUUUCUCCGUCAGUGUAAUUAGCUGGCAAUUAUCAUAUCGAAAUCGAGACAGGUACUUGUAUAAAUGUCCUGAAAUGUGAUGGAAGUUAAAGAUACCUAGGUAGAGUGCACGUAGGCAGCUUUAUAACAAUUAGGGGACCCUGCAUGUGAUGCCGACCAUUAUAUUGAUCAAACUCAUCCAUCAAUCCAUAUCGACCUCCUAGCUUGUGACGAAAGCUCCAUUAAAUCAUUCAAAGAGAUGGAUGAACGUGUGCUAGCUGUCGAUCUAUACCUAUAUGUCGCCGAACAUUUUGUGCACAUAUAUAUAUGGAGAUCUAUACAUAUAUGUCGCCGAACAUUUUGUGCACAUAUAUAUAUGUAGAGUAUACUCUGUAGCUAGCUACAAAAUAUGUUAUUCUAUAGCCACCUCCAUUUAUGAUAAUUUUAUAUACUAAUUUACGAUAAUAUGUAUACAUAUUUACGAUAGUUGGAUUACUAUAACACAUGGGGAUAUUUACUGUAAUGUUAUAGUAAACCACUUAGUAAGGAGUUACUAUAAUCUUGUAAAUUAAUAUAGUAAUUAUCGUAACUCAAAGUGGCUAUAAAAUAAGUUAUUUUGUAGCCAACUACAGAGUAAUAGUUCUAUACACACACGUCUAACUUGAGACACAUGGAAGAUCAGAAUGUAGACAAGCAUGUACUACCAUAGUUUGUCAUGCAUGCUAGCUGCCUAUAUAUUUGGUCAGAGAAAUAUAAUGCAUGCAGGUGAAAUGUGUGAUGAAUAAUUUGCAAGACCUUUCUUUUCAGAGAUGAUUUUUUUUUGCAGAUCCUAAUCGAUCUUGCUGUAGUAAUUUAGCAGUAACAUGUGCUUGCGUAUGAACCUACUACCAAUCUAUUGUUAUAUAUAUACAGCAACAGAAACUCCAAGGAGAUAGGAGCAAUCCGAGGCUGACACUCUGACCAUGAGGUGGCAGAGAAAAGUUACAAGCCUUCAGUAGAAUAAAAGGAUGUGUGCUGCAUGAGGUGAAUAUGAUGAGUAGAUAAAUGGUACAUGUGCAUUGCAUGCAGGUGAAAAAAAUGUGAUGAAUAAUUUACAAGAUCUUUCUUUCGAGAUUUUUUUUUUGAUAGAUGCUCAUGAUCUAUCUUGCUGUAGUAAUAAGUUAGUUUUACUUAUAUAUGUUUGCGUCGUAACCUACCAAUAUAUUGUUACAUAUAUGGUGCUGCACCAACAGAAACUCCGAGGAGAUGGUUGUAAUCAGUACUGAGAUAUGGUGCCCGUAGCUUUUGUUUCUUGCUUUGUUUCAAACUUAUGUAUUUCCAUUGGUUAACUUCAAUGAAAAUAUGUACCCCCAUAUGCUAGGAUGGCCCAGCUCAUGGUUGUAAUCUUGUAGACCUCCUAGAGCGCUCGCCAGAAGAGCAUUGUGUACACCAAACUUUUCUACCUUAAUAUAAAGAUGCACAAAUAUUUUGCAUAUUAAAAUAAAGUCUAAUGAAAAUAUGAUGCCUUGGGUCGAAGAAAAAAUAAACUCCAAGGAGAUAGGAGCUAGCAAUACGAGGCUGACUUUGCUGACCAUGAGGUGGCACAGAAAAGUUACAAGCCUUCACUAGAAUAAAAGGUUGUGUGCUGCAUGAGGUGAAUAUGGUGAGUAGAUAAAUGGUACAUGUGCAUAUGCAUGCAUAUGUGCCCCACAAGCUGUAGCAUCACAAUCAAUGUAAUAAAAGGUAGUGUUGCACUGUGUGAUCAAUCAGCUGAUUAUUAAACAAACAUGAUGCUGUCUAUAGUUUAAUUAUAUAUAUACAAGGAUUGGUGGAGGGCAGAGAGAGUGGUGGCCGCCACUGGCCAUGGCUCUCCCUUUUCUUGUCCAGUUAGUUGUUAGUUACUAUAUAUAUUCCAUGCAUGGAUGAUCUGCAGGUGGCCCCGAUCGAUGAACUAUUCAGUACUACAGUAUGAUUUAUUAUAUAGUAUAUAUGUAUGAUAAACUGAUAUGUUUGUGAUCUAGUUGGGUUUAGUUUAUAGGUUGAGUGUUGAUGGGACCGGCCACUGAAAGCAAUGCCUCUCCGACCCGUCAAUCAUAUUUCCACAUCGAUCUCUCAAGGCCAUAUCUUCGUUUUGGUUCAUUGUUUCACCUUUCUGAUUAAUCAUCAUGUUCUUUCUCCCCCUUUCGAUCUGUUCUUCAAGUUUGAUCUAGCUAGUAGCGUGCAGUAGUAGUAACUCGUCGUAUGUAGGAAUGGAAACAUCCCUACUUUCUUUAAUUUGUAUAUUCCUUUUAGAGCCUGUUUUUGAUAGCCCCUAAUUAAAGAAGGUUCUAGGCUAAUCUAGGAUCAGAAGCUCCGCCAAACAAAAAGCCGGCCUUGAGAAUCUAGUUUUAAUGAUAAGUGAUUGUAUAUUGAUUCUGUAAAAUGAUUCUCUAAGAUAAACUGGAAUAUAUAGAAGUUGAAAAGUAAUUUCUCUUGAUUAGUUUUGAAUUUUUUUGGUUUUCAUUACUGUAGCACUUUCGUUUUUAUUAGACAAUUAUUGUCCAAUCAUGGACUAACUAGACUCAACAGAUUCAUCUCGUGAUUUACAGGUAAUUAAAUUGUGUAAUUAGUUCAUUUUCGUCUAUAUUUAGUGCUUCAUGCAUGUGUCGAAAGAUUCGAUGUGAUGUAAAAUUUUGAAAAGUUUUUUAUUUUUGGGUGAACUAAACAAGGCCUCGUUCCACACUGAUUACUCUAUCAAUUAUGCACAUGAUGUUUUUCAGCAACAUUAGCUAGCUGGGGAGUAGCUAGCUAGCUACUAAUGCAACCUCGGAUUCAUUUGUCUAUAUGCAUUUGUCAUCUAAUGGGGGGCAUUCAUGAUCGUCUUGCACACAUCACAGGGAGAGUAGGUAAGCUCGCUGAUCAUUGCGUGUCAGACUGAUCAACAGACACUACUACAUACUACUACGCCAUACGCUCUGCUGUGCCGUUCGUUGGCUAUUUAAUUACGGCCUUGUUUAGUUCUGAAAAGUAAAAAAAAUUUUAGUACUGUAGCACUUUCGUUUGUUUGUGACAAAUAUUAUUUAAUCAUAGACUAAUUAGGAUUAAAAGAUUCGUAUCGUGAUUUAUAGCUAAUCUGUGUAAUUAGUUUUUGUUUUCGUCUAUAUUUAAUAUUUUAUGUAUGUGCCACAAAAUUCGAUGUGAUGAGAAAUCUUGAAAAAUUUUUGAUUUUCAGGGUGAAAUAAACAAGGCCACAUGCAUGCCUGUUGCCUGCCUGCACAUUCUUGAAUCUUGACCAAUACAAGGCAAUGCACCAAUGGCUACAGGGAGGCCGGCAGCAGCCUAGAUACCUACGGAGUACUGCAGUGCUGCGUACAACACCACCAUGUGUUCUGAAAAUGUAUCGUCGCGUCGCAGGCAGACAGGGACGUACGUGGAUCGGCCAGCAGCCAGCCCCGCUUGCCAUGUAAAUGUGCAUGUGGCUGCUGGGGGCCGGCGACGAGACCCAUGCACGUGUACUCCCUCCGUACCUGAAUUAUUUAUCGUUUUAACCUUUUAGCCCUAUCUCUCAAAAGAGAACUAGCUAAUCAAACUAUGCAACAUUGUUGCAAAAGUAACAACUACGGUGUUAUUUAAUAAGAACAAAGAAAAAAAAAUAUUAUCUAAUUAAUCACUCCUUGGUAAAUACAAUUAUGUUCUAAACGUCAACAAAUUUAGAUAUAGAGAGAGUAUACGUCUCGUCCGAGGUCCAACAAACCUCCGGAAAUAAUACGAUGCCAUAUACAUACAUUGGCUGCACAGCUAACAGCUCAUGUCAUGUAAUAUUUCUAUAACUUCCUCUUUUUUACUAUAUAUGGUAAAUCUAAUAAUACUAAUUUGAUAUCAUAAGUUUUAAUGUUUUUUUCAAGAAAUUUGGUUAAAGUUGACUUAACAUAACUCUAAAAAUCUAUUUAUUCGGGAACAAAAAAAUACUUCAAAUUGAAAGAAACUCUUUAUUUGCUUUCUCCCGAUGAAAACUAAAGCAAAGAAAACAAACAUGCAUUCACACGUGAACAAAUAUGGGCUCAUCAACUGGUACACGCGGUCUGCUAAUAAUACUGUGCAGCACCGAACGCUAGAACCUGGCAGGCUGGCACAGUUGCAAACCUCUCUUUCUUGUUUAGUUCCGAAAAGUGAAAAGUUUUUGAUACUGUAGCACUUUCGUUUGUUUGUGACAAAUAUUAUCCAAUUAUGGAUUUUAUGGACUAACUAGGAUCAAAAGAUUCGUCUCGUGAUUUACAGCUAAACUGUCUAAUUAGUUUUUGUUUUCGUCUAUAUUUAAUGUUUCAUACAUAUGCCACAAGAUUCGAUGUGACGGGAAAUCUUGAAAACUUUUUGGUUUUCAGGGUGAACUAAACAACGCCAGUGUCAGAAAGUAGUCUCUGCCCAAGCAAACCAUGUUAACUAAGCACAAAAUAUUCCAUUACAUAGCCAAACAGGCAUUCAAACAAACUUAUAAGAAAGACAGCACAAAGAAAAAUAGGCUCUAAACGACGACGGCGUUCACCAUCUUUAAUUUCCUGGUGAUAUCACUUUUGAGAGGAUCCCCUAUUGUUAGACAUCAAAAUGCAACUGCCGAUAUACCAUAAAUACAUUAAUUUGGUGUGGCGACUAGGAUCAUCCAUGGAUUCAUUAGAAAAAAAUUAACGGGAAUAUGAAUGAUGACACAAGAGAAAUAAUCACUACUACAAAAAUCUUUGAAGAGGCGUUUUGAAAUAGGCCUAUGAGGCGGGCAACAUUUUCAACCGCCUCGAUUAAUGGUAGGCAUUAACCGAGGUGGUCAUUUUUUAUUAACCGAGGUGGUUGCCAGAAACUGCCUUGCAAAAUCAAUUAAUCGAGGCGGGCACAUCAAAAUAACCGCUUCGGUUAAUAACUUUUAACCGAGACGGUCAUCUUAAGACAACCGCCUCAAUAAAUCAUUAAACGAGGCGUACAUUGUAAAGCAACCGCCUCGUUAAAUUAGGCCCAGCCCGCUAGGCCCACUCGAGCCCAAUAUCAUGUCAAAUAUGUAAACAAGAGAAACCCUAGAAUCACUCCCUCCACUCCACUCCGAACACUCAGACGCACUCAGGCCCUAUCCUGUCGCCCCCUCCUCUCCCCUCUCCCAUGUCGGCGCCCCCUCCCCUCUCCCAUCCAAUCAUCCCUCCCUUCUCUUCCCCUCUCCUCUCCCGGCGACCCCUCCCCUCCCUUCUCUCUCGGUGACCGUCAAUCUCCAUCCUCUCAGGCGUGAGCGGCGCCCCUCUCUGCACCACGCCGGCAUGGGCGCGACCUCUCGGUGGUGGCGUAGGCCAGAUCCGAUGGCAUGGAGGGCACAGUGGCGCUGGCCUCUCCUCUCACUAGCUGGUGGCGGCGUGAAACAAAUCAAGUGGCGAUGGCAGGUGGCAGUGGUGGCCGCGAGUCCCUGCACCAUGUAAGGUAUGCCCUCCUCUCUCUCUCCUAUCAAAUACACCACUCAGGCUCUCACCAUCUCCUAUCACCUUGUAGAUCGACGAUGGUGUCUUCUUCUGAAAGAUCCUUGUUUGGUUUUGGUAAUUGAGUGACAACUUAGGUGGACUAAUAGUGUUUUUGUGAGAUACACAGGAGAUUAGUCCACAGGUGAUGAUGUGAUGAUGGAGGAGCUCAUUGCACAUGAGACAUGACAUGGAGUCAUGUGACCAAGGUGGAGAAGAUCAAGAUAAGACUUGGCUCGAUGGACCGGUUGCAAGAGUGAAGGGCAAGUCGGAGGCUUUGAAGCGAGGGACCUCGUGUGACGGUGAAGCUUGAGCAAGACUUGGCGCCGAUGGACCGAGACAACGGUGGAGAGCAAGUGAGGUCAAGAUCGAUGAACUAAUACGGUCACGUGAUGAUAUGAAGUGGAUCAUAUCAUUUGGUGAUUGGUUGGUGCAUGUGUUGCAUCAAUAUUGGAGGAUAUGGAAUGGAAAGCGCAAGGCAAAGGUAUAACCUAGGGCAUUUCCAUUUCACCGGUCAUAGGUGUGUAGAGAAGUUUAUGACCGAAUUUAGGAUAGAUGGUCGUACUAUCAAGAGGGGCAAACUUGUUUGCAUAUCGGUCAUCUAGUGCCACUUGAGUGAUCUAACUUUGCAUACGUGUUAGGAUCGAGUGGCGUGCCAAGUUGAGAGGCUAACUCCUUUGGGAAAAUGUUUGUGAAAAUGCUAACACACUUGCACAUGGUGGUGUACUCUUGGUGGUGUUGGCACAUUUGCAAAGGAGAAGGUGUUGGAGUUGAUUUUGAUCAAUUUGGAGAAUAGAGAGAAGUCUUUCGGUGUUCUUCGGACAUUAGGAUGGCUUUUAGAUUGGAAUACUGCUUUAAUCCAUUUUGAUUUGGAUUGAGUAUUCAUAUAGAUUGGAUAGCACUCUAAUUAAGCUUUCCAAAAUGUCCAAGAUCAUCGAAUUUGAAGUUCGGAGCUAGAAGUUAGCAACCUAACAAGUAGAACUGUAGGCACAGGACGCUAUGAGUCCGGUGCGCACAGGACGAGUCCGGUGUGCACAGGACGCUGUGAGUCCGGUGACCCUGCAAGUUUGCGUUGCUCUCUGCGUACGGGUCUGGUGCGCAUAGGACGAGUCCAGUGUGCACAAGACGUUGUGAGUCCGGUGCUGCUGCGAGUUUGCGUUGCUCUCUGCGUAUGCGUCCGGUGCGCACAGGACGCGUCCGGUGUGAAGCAGCAGAGCGUCCGGUGCUACUGUUCCAAGCGCGCGUGCGUUGACAGCAACGGUCGAGUUCAAAUGGCUAGUGACACGUGGCUGUUUCUAGAGCACCGGACGCACUGUUCCAGCGUCCGGUGGCUCCCUGCAGUGAGUCCGGUGCCCACGACUUUUGCCCAGUUAAGAGGCAACGACUAGUUUAGCCCUUAGGGCUAUAAAUAAAAAUGGUGGCCGGCCUUGGCUGGUGCUGAGCACCCUGGGGACUUAAUGUCCAUGCAUGGGGAGUGCUAGGAAAGCCUCUAACUCACUUGUGCUUGCAAGAGUGCGAAUCAACAGCGAGUGAGUGAUUCUAGUGCGUUGCAUUGAGAGAUUGCAUUAAGGGGCACUAGGUGUUCGUGUUGCAAGCCGGUGGUGCUUGUUACUUUUGGAGGUUGCCACCUCCUAGACGGCUUGGUGGCUUGUGACUCCGUCGAAGCACGCAAGGAGAUUGUGCGGUGCUCCAGAGAAGAGAUUGUGAGGGGUACGGUGCUCACCCCGCGGGGAUCGCAAAGAGCAACUCUAGUGGAUCGCUUGUGGCUUGGAGGAUCCCAAUCUUGAGAGUGGAUGUGUGGUACCCGCUGAGGGUUUGGCUUUGGAAUGCCAAUUAGCUCGUGAUCCAUCAAGUGGGUGUAUCGCCACAACGAGGACGUAGCUUGGUGGCAACCAAGUGAACCUCGGUAAAAAUCACCGUGUCAACAUUGUCUACUCUUCUCGGUGGUUUGCAUUCACUUUACACAAGCUUGUAUUUACAUUCAAUAUACUUGUUCUUGUGUAGUUGCUCUUAUAAUUAGUUUAGCUUGUGUAGCUUACUAGUUACCUUCUUGCUUGUGUAGCUAGAAGUAGUUCCCUUGCGUGGCUAAUUCGGUUUGUGUAACCUUGUUAGUCACACUGCUUAGUUUGUGUAGCUAAGUAAGUUGCGCUCUCUAAUUUGGCAUUAGUUGCCUUGUUAUUGAGCUUGCUAGUGAGCUUAGGCUUUGUGCGCUUUGCCUCACUAGUUUGUGUAGGAGCUCCUCUAGUUUGCAAAGUAAUAGUUGCAUAGGUUUGUGUGACCUUGCUCCUAGAAUUGAUUAGGUGAUCUCAUGCUAAGGUAGCACCUUGUUUGCUUGUUUAGGAUCUUUUACAAGGUGCUAAAAGAACUUAGAUAGAGGGGUGUAGUCUUGGCUAGACCGAUAGAUUUAAUUCCGCAUUUGUUUCGGUUAGCCCGUGUGAUAUUUUUUAGAAAGGACUAUUCACCCCCCCUCUAGUCUGCCAUCUCGACCCUUCAUCGUCCCUAUAGCGGCUCCUUGGAGGCGGAUCCACCCUUCCCCUCCCACUCCCACAAGCAGGGGGCCGGAUCCGUUGAGUGGGUGCCAAGAACCAGUAGUGGGUGCCCGGAUCUGGUGAGCGGCUGCAGCGAUGCAGAAAUCCGGCGAGCUGUGGCCACAACAGCACGUGGAUGGGCUUAGCGGGCAUGUGGAUGGGCUCAUCGGGCUUAUCCACGGGUUUUAUUUUUUAUUAUUUUUUACUUGCUUUACCAAGGUGGGCAGCAAAACGCUUUGGAAAAGGCCACGAUUAAACAUGACCUUUGAUCCAAGGUGGUUGGCUUGCCCGCCUCAGUUAAUGUCUUUUGCCCGCCUCCAUUAAGUUUUAUGUAGUAGUGAAUAUAUGCUCUAACACAAAAUGGGUCUCUAACACAAUACCUAUAGCCUCCAACAGAGUAUCUAUAUGAAAGAUCCAUUUUGGGUGAGGCAUAACUCAAAUUUGACUAUCCUCUCUCAAGGAGACCUAUUUGUAAAAAGUGUUGUCUUUUGGGUCUUGUUAUUGGAGAAGACCAAAAGUAGGUAUUGAACCUUUUGCCUGUAGCUCUACCCAAAGGACAAAUGGGUCUUAUAUUUUAGGUUUUGGUUGUUGGAGAACGGAUAUAAUAGAUGUAUAAACAAACAAAAGAACGAAGACAGAGUCUUCCUUUUAGCUAGAAGAGUGGUGGCUACGGUGACUUUGCUUUUUACCUGCCUCAUCUUGACAAGUUGGAAUUCUCUUGUGCUAAUUGUUUUAGUUCAUGCAUUACUAUUUUAUUUUCAUAGCAUGGUUUUCACCACAUGUUUUGGCUAGAGCCGGAGGUGAUAAUGUUUCACCACUGGUUCAGAAACUGGUAAGACACAGUGGCAUAAAACCAGUAGUGAAAAUUCUUUUCACCACUAGGUCGGUGGUAGGUCCAGUAGUGAAAAUCAUGGCAGAGGUGAAAACAAAUUUCACCAUCGGGUUCUCACAAAGGUAGGCGACAUGACAGGUUGGAAUUAGGUGUAAGGGUGUGAUGCUAUGUUCAUCAGUGGAUAGUUCUUCCCCAUGGAGGUAAAACCACUCUUGCUCCAAGAAACAACUCGCAGCCUCAUCGGCGUCGUACUCCGAUGAGAAAGUGCGCAGUGAGAGGAUGUCUGUCCUUGGUUGGGGGUGAAUGCACUGCUAGCAGAGAUGAUCUCACUAGGGAACCAGACGUUGCCUUUGAGAGCAGCAUCUUUGGCUCCUGCAGCAAGGAUGGUGGCUCGAUCGAUCACAGAGCGGUGAUUACAAAUGAAGCUGCACUUUACCUGGCGCUCCGACUGUCAUGGGCUCGUAACCACGACAGUCAUUAGGUUGUUCGAUGUGAGUCUAUGUGUAUGUCUCCAAUGGCCUUGAGCAAAUGAAAAUACUCAGAACACGUGGGAUUUAUCCUAAUUUGGGCCUCUGAGCCCUACAUCUAGUAGUGGUGUCCUCCAUGUUAGGAAUGCUCAAAAUGAGACAUCUUAUAAUAGAGGAAGUCGAGAGAUGCUAGUCUUCGGUUCGACUGAUCCAUGCUCAAUUCUUGUGAAUUGAUCCCAUCUCCUAAGGAUUUCGGUCCGGGGGCAUUGGUCUUCUCCUUGUCAGCAUCGUCAGUCCUCCUUUGUCUGGUAGCUAGGGUCCGACAAACCCCAACCACUCGCUAACGCCACUACUAUAGCCUCCUACAAAAACACCUACCCUAGGUGAGCCUUCUCCUAGCUUAUUCAGCAUGCCAGGCUUCUCCUCCUACCUGGAGGGGCUGCCAUGUGGGCUCGGAGCCUCCACUUCAUGGGCUUAGUGCAGUUCCUUGUCCUGAUGUGUCAUGCCCCAUCCAUGACCCUACCGUAGAGUAGCCGACAAUACCUUGUGGGAUGGGAACAGGAUGACGGUGUGGUGCUUCUAUAUGCCUGUCAGACUCUAACCGAUUGAUUGAUUCUACAAUUGUCUUUUGGCCUUGCACGAGAUGAAUGAUUACCCUGAGCCAAAUAAGCCCCUAAGCAAGACAUGGCCUAGAUGGCUACAAGUCAUCUUUUGCUGAAGAAGAUAUGAUUCAUAGUGUGUGCACGAGCACACCUAAUGGCAUGAUGGGUGUAUCCUUCAAGCCUUUGGCUAAUUUGGAGAAUUAAUUAGGCUAUUAGCCAGAAUUUUGUGGCCUUAAUAGGGACUUAACAUACCCCCUUUGUUAGACUCUCAUCAAUACCCAUCCUAGCUAAUCGUGAUAACUCUACAGAAACAAAAACGGUGUGAAGAGCACCUAAUUUGAUAAUUAUUUACAAGAAAUAAGAUCUAGCAAGGAAUCCAUGAAGAUGAUGCCAUUAAGUAGCCAUGGUGGAUAAUUUAUUCAUGCUAAACCCUAACUAGUAUGAUUAGACUAGAUGACGGAGGGUCCACGCUUCUCCAAUGGUAAUAGUGUAUCUCUUGAGUCUCCUAAUGUUAUUCUUCACCUCCAAUUGAUGUUGUCGAUGAUUUUGUUUAGUUUUGAUAUGUCGGAGCUCAGCGACGCCAGUGACUACCACUAGAGCAUCACUCUCCAAUUCAUACAAAAUGACAAGCAAUCCUUUGAAACAUCACACGAUAUAUCCAAAUGUCAUAGAAACUUUCUAUGACACAUCUACCACAUUGAAAGAGCACUGGUGUGCCUCAUCGUCGAAGGUGAUAAAGCGACCAUCAAUCUAGCGCCAAUAGUGAUCCAGUCAUGCUAGAACAAGAAAACUUAAUAACUUCUUGCCAUCGUAAGACCAAAAUUUAGCUAGCUAGCGAAACAAAGAUGCGAAUGUUGAACACCACCACCCCAACCAAUCGCACUAACCUUGUAAAAACAAAAUUGACAUGAACACUAGUUUUGAUGGCUAGAGAAACAUUCAAAAUGGAUGAGAAACAAGAUCUAGUGAGUACUUGAUGAAGACGAUGUCAUCUGGAAGCCCACAUAGAACAAUUUUUUAUCUAAACCCUAACUAGCAUGACUAGAUUGGAUGACAGAGGGACCUCCCUCCUCCUGGUAAGGUUGUUGCAGGGGAUGGAGGUGGGAGACUAUAGUGGCGGCAUUGGAGAAGCCCUAGGUAGUGGCUAUAGGAGGCACCGACCAAAAGGCGUUGCAAGGUACGGUCAUGAUGUCACUACUACAUGAUUUUCUUUUGUGCAGUGUUUCAAAUUUGGCCUCUAAGGCGCACGGCCUGGUUGCCUGCCUCGGUUAUUUGAGGGUGGUCAAGCCAAGCCAUCAACCGUCUUGGUUAAUCAUUAACUAAGACUAUCAUUCUAAUAUAACCACGUUGGUUAAUGCCUAUUAUCUGAGGUGGUCAUUGUAUUAUAAAUGCCUCGGUUAAUACUUAUUAACCGAUCGAGGCAGGAAAAUUAAGGCAUCCACCUCAGUAAAUCCAUUAACAGAGUUGGGCAUACUAUGAAGGCCAUCUUCGAAAAUAUUGGCCGAGAAAAGCAGCCUAUUUGGCCCGAUAUCAUGCUUGUAGUAUAUAAGCGGGAGUUAGGGCUUCAUUCUCCCUUAUCCUCUCUCUCUCUCUCUCUCUCUUAGUUCUCUCCCUCCCUCAUACAGCACCCGGCCACGCUCUCCCUCCCCAAACGACAUGCCGCUCUCUCCCUCGGAUCCAACCAACCCAACUCUCUCCCUCCCUCCCUCCCUAGACGGUGCGCUGCUCUCCCUCCCUUAGAUCUACGAUGCGGUGCACCCGUUCUCCCUCCCUCUUCGGGCGUGGCGGCGGUGAUGUCCUCAUGCGCAGGCUUAGCAGCAGUAACGAAGGCCUCGUGUAUGGGCUCGGUAGUGGUGAUGUCCUCAUGGGGCGGUGGCGCGUGGAGCUACCCGCACCGGCAUUGGCGCCUCAUGGGGUAGUGGAUCUCGGCGAUCCUCUCUCUCCUCCAAGAACGACGAUCCAUCCCUAUCCUCCGAGCACGGCGACGCCUACCUCUCCUCUGAUCGGCUGUGGCGGUGCAAAUCUUCCCACCACUGAGUGGAUCCCCAGCAGAGGCUACGAGUGUGCAGAUCCGGCCACCACCGAGUGGAUCUAGCCACCAGAGGCUGCGGGGGAGCAGCACGGUGAUGCAUGGUACCGGGCUUAGUGCGCUACUGGAUUCAGUGGGUUUUUUUAAUUUCGUAAAACUAUUAAUCGUGGUGGGCUACCUAACUCAAGCGCCUCGGUUAAUAGCACUAACCGAGGUGGUUUUUGCAACCACCUCGGUUAUGACCAUGAUUAACCAUAACCUUUAGUUUGAGGCGGUUACAAAAACCGCCUUAGUUAAUCCUUUUUGUCUACCAUAGUUAAGAUUUUUGUAGUACUGCGUCAUUUCAACUGAUAGGAUUUGAAAAAAAAUAGUCAUGAUCUGAAUUUCACUAUGUAAAUUAAACACACACCUCUAGCUUCAUCAGUGGACCAGAGCGCGGACGUGUGGGUCCAAAAAACUAUAUGACAGGAGGAGGAAGACACGCGCAGAUAGUAGUGCCUUCAGCUUCGUCUCCGUGCCUCGUCUUGCUUUAAGUAGUACCUCUUCCAAAAAAAACUAUCAUUACAGGUGAGAAAUCACAUAGAGAUGGGGUAGUGCUGAAAUGUUAUAAUAACGUACGUGUUCAAGUCAUGAAAUCUUAAGAAAUUCCUAAAUAAAUAAAUAAAUAAAUAAAUAAAUAAAGGUACGUAAUAUGACUGACGAUCGAACGUCCUGUUUGCAGAACAGAGGUAGUUGAAAUAAGCAUAUACUAGUAUAUAUAUGUUUGGCCGGUGGUUGUCGGCGGUCGAGAUUCUUGUGGUCGGAGAUCGCUGCUGCUGGUGGUCUUCCCAGCUGCCGCCGCCGGCGCGACGUACGCCGCGCCCGCGUCUCCAUCUCUGCAUUGCAUCGUUACCAAUAGCUAGCUAGCUAGCUAGCUAACUAAUCAUCAGCCACAGCAGCAGAUAUAUUCUAUUCGGUCUCUUCUCUAUUACAGUGUAUAUGAUCCUUCUGUAUAUCACAUAUAUUUAUAUAUCUAUAUAUCACACUUGGUACGAUCCAACCAAAGAACAAGCAGAUCAAUAUCUCUGAUUCGUCGGUUACCCACGGCAUGCAUGGAUCUCAAAAGUAAUCUUCUGCUCAAUCUCUAGCUGCUUGCUCUGUCACCGGCCAUGCAUGCCAUUCAUGCGUGCAUGGCACCACAUGAGGAAAUGUUGUGCAUGCAUGCAGCUGUACAGUAACAGUAAGGGCACUGGACUUUUAAAUCUCAUUACAGUACAGAUUAGCUAGCAAGGAGAGAGGAGCAGGAGCUGCUCCAGAUGGAGCUAUAGCUCAGCUCAUUAUGUACGGAAGUAGAGUACGGCCAUGUCUGCUGCCCACUGCACGUCUGCACCAAUCACCAUUACAUGGAUGCAUUGUGUACCAGCAGCACUAGCUAGCUAGAUCGUAGCUUACGAGAGCAGUAUAGUACGUACCAACGAAUACAAGGCUAGCAAACGCCUGUACUUGCAUUCGUAUUACUCGUUUGGUGUCAAGUACGUGGUGGCGCGCCUUACAAUUACCGCCGGCCGGCCGGCCGUAUCUGUCUAGUACAGAAUUUAUCAUCGAUGAUCUUAUCUGUAUUGUUUUUCUUUACUAUAUGAAGAAUGAAGUGAUGCACCGAUCUGAUGAGAUACUGCAUGUAUGGUUUAUUCUGAGCUUAAUAUGCAUUGCAGUGCAUUCUUUGGUUCAGGGCCACUUCACUGUAAAACGUUGAACAUGCUUGUCAUUGCCCUAGCCAGAAAAAAGUAGCUGAUCUGAUGAGCUAUACACUCGAUCAGUGAGGCAGGCAAGCAGAAAAAAAAUCGGCGGAUGGUCUCUUCAAAAUUAGGUAUGCUACCUAUAUAUCGAUCAUCACAGUGCAACAACCAUGUUAAUUUUAAAAUUAGAUUCGUUUCCUCUCUCUCUCUUUCAUAUAGCUUAUUAUAAACAACAAACCAGCCUUUUAAAGUUCAAGGAUAUUUUUAUACUGCUAGCUAGCUAGUGGUUAUAAUAGUUAUGAAUGGUUGGAAAUCUUCUUCCUCUUAUUAGAAAAAAAAAGAAAAAGAAGAGGAGGAAAAAAUAAAGAAUGGUUGUUCGAUCGAGAUGAAUGCAUGCAAGCAUAUGCUUCCCGACGUUAACAAUUAAUUGGGCAACAAUACAAUGCAAAUGCAAUGCAAGAUAAUGAUAGUACUAAUGUACUGCAUGAAGAGAAAGUCAAUGGGUCCAUCAAGUGCAAAUAAUCCAUCCCGUGGCAAACUAAAUUUGCAGCGUAGUACAACAAAUGCCAGAGAGAGCUAGCUAGGAGAAGUACAGCACACACAGAGUGGCGAACGAACGAACGAACGAACUUGCCAUGCAUCCCAUGCAUGCAUGUAAAAGUACGUGCUACGUACAAAACGACUCCCCUUCCGACAACAUACUUGCCCAGAGUGAAUUCAGAAGAUUAAUUUUGAUCGGCGCCAGGAGAAAAACAUGCACCUUACAGCAGGUACGUGGUGCGUACGUGCUGCUGUAGUUUAAUUAGUACUAUACGUACAUACGUACUCACUCUAUCUGCUGGACUAUCUACACUGGAUCACCGACGCAUGCAUGAUGCAUUCAUUGGGCGAUACUCCUACAAAUUUGUAAAUAAGCCUAUCGAAUUUGUCUAUGUUUUUCUUAUUAGCUGGUGAAGGAGUGAUAAUGACUAGAUGCAAUGACUGUGUUUUGAAAAAAAAAACAAAGAGAUAAUGACAAGGUGACUAGGGCGAACAAUAAUACUCUCUAUGUCCCCUAUUAUAUAUAGGCCUCUUUUGGAUCAUGGGAAAAAAAAUUGGAAAAACGUAUGAUGAUUCACAUUUCUAUGGAUUGUGUGCACAGAAAAUCGCUUUCACGAAAAACAUAGGAAACUUUUCUUUGUAUGUUCGAUUCCAAAGGAAAAUCAAGGGAAAGAGACAUCCACUUUUUUCCAAAAAAAAAGAAACAUCUACUCCAAUCUCAGUGUUUCUUGGUUUCAGUGUUUUUCCUGCAGUUCAUCCAAACAAACUACUCCUAGAAAAUUCUUAUCUUUUCCAUUUUUUUAUACAUAUAUUUCCUAUCCUAUUCCUGCGUAAACGCGUUCCAAAGAGGACCUAUAACAUAGGGGAUUUUAGGUGAAUUAAAUAAAACCGCUGUCACUACUUUCCAAGACUAAACAUUUACUGUCAGCAUUCAAUCCUGUUACAUGUGCCAGUAAGAAAAAUGUCUUCAAUGUAGUAAUGUUAAAAUGGAGUUGUCUUUAAUCGAAGUGUAGUACUUACAUGUCCUAAAACUUCUAGCACCCCUUAGGGCACUCACAAUGUAGACUCUAUCAUAGAGUCUAAAGUUAUUUAUUAUCUCGAACAAUGUGGAUUUAAAGUCUAAAUAAAACUUGUAGUCUUAUUUUUUCUACCUCUUUCUUUAAUAAAUAUGCUGCCACAUCAGCCAAAUAUCAUAAAUAAUAUGUAAUUAAUUAUCUUAGACUCUUUAAUAGAGUCUUGCAUUGUGAGUGCCCUUCGAUGGACCAUUAGGCCAGUCUCAAUGGAGGUUUCACCAGGAUGUCAUGCACAUUUAUUAGAGCGCCAUAUCAGCAAAACUGUACUUUUUGCAUGAAACGAAGAGGAGAGAGAAGGAAGUAGUUUCACCAUGGUGAAACUCCGCUAGCGUUGUUUCCCAUGCGGUGAAACAGGAUGAAAUCCCCACUGAGGACUAAAUCGUUUCACCAUCUUGCAUGUGAUCCAAUCAUUUUGCAGUAAUUAAAUGCUUUGUCCAGCCUAGGAAACAUCAAGGUGAAACUUAUGCAUUGUGGAGGUUGUUUCAUUGUUCGUUUCAUUGAUGCUCUGUCAGCAGAUUUGUUUUGGAAACAGUGCAAUGAAACGGACCAUUGAGACUGGCCUUAUUAUUUUAUUCAGAUGGUGUAUUCCUAGUUUUAAUAGUUUAAGAGCUACUUCUUCAAUUUCAAAUUGUAAGUCAUUAUAAUUUUUAUAGAUAUAUAAAAAAUCUACUAUAUAUCUAGAUAUAAUAAUAUCUAAGUAUACAAUAAAAAUUAUGUACCUAGAAAAACUAGAAUAUAAACUAGAAUGACUUCUAUAUAGAUUGAGUAGUAACACGUACACACCAGCAAUACGUCAGGUUGCUGGUGAUGUACCUCCAAUGCAGUGGGAAGCACAGUGGAUUAACAUCGAGGAAGUAUCCUAUAAAUGCAAUGAUAACUCAGUUGAACGGCUAACUACUCGAUCGGCUAUCAGGGCCCCAUAAAACUUGACACCAGCAGGAAGCACCAACCAUAAGGGGAACUCCCAAAUAAAACAGGAGAAAAUCUGGCAAUGCCAAAACACAAUAUGUCUUCUAAAGAAAUAAUUCACGCUAUGAAUUUCAAAUGAAAGACCAAAACCUUCCACGUCGUCAUCUUUUUUUUUUUGCAAAACCUAGUAAAAACCUAGACACUUCUAUACAAGCAUGUACUCUUAACCCUACGAAUCUACACAUACACACACUACUCUUAUCGAGCGCCUUCAAAAAACUGAAUUAUAUAUAUCAAUAAAUCUUGAGAUUAAUAAAGUCACGACAUAUGUAUUGUUAUCGAUGGUGUAACACCCAAAAUUUAAUUUUCAAUUAAUAGGGUUUAAUGAGCAUUAUUUAAGCAGUUUUUGUGGGCAUUUAAUCUAGUAAAUAAAAUAUUUUUGUCAAAAUUAAAAUUUAACAUAAGAUUAGAAACUUGUUUAUGCAUUCAUGCCGAAGAAUAUUUUAUUUUGUAUUGUUUGCCUCUGGCUUGAAUUUAUUUGCAUUCAAAAUUUUAUUUGAAAAAGGUUUAUUUUGAAAAAGAAAUCAGAAAAAAAACCCCAGCCGAACCCCCCUCACCCCGCGCGCGGCGCACUCCUUUCCGCAGCCCAGUCAACCCCCGCAGCCCGCUGGCUUUUCCCCCACGCCCCGGCCCAUUCUUUCGAGGCCCAACUGCGCGGCCAGCGCUCUCUCACUCUCUCUCACUGACGAUCGGGGCCCGCGUGUCAGCGCGUCACCUUCCCCUUCCUCGAGUCCGAGCAGGACCCGAUUCCAUGCCGAGCUCGAUCCCAGGAAAUUCGCGAUUUCCUUGCCGUUUUCGCGCAAACUGACCCCUAUAAAUCCCCUAGGGCAACCCCGCGGCCUCCUCUUUGCUUUUGGGUCGCCAAAACCGAGUCCCCGUGCCUUGCUUCGUGCGUUUUGGAUCUUGCCGCGAGCCACACCGAGCCCCCGCCACGACCCGACCUCCCUGUCCUCUCUCGGCCCGAGCGAAGGCUCUAGGUGAGUCCGCGGUGAGCUCCUCGUCCCUCUGGUGUUUUUCCUUUGGCUUUUGGUGCACGGUUGCGAGAAGGCCGAGAACGCCGGCGAGGUCAUCCAUGGCGCCGCCGUGGAGAGCUCUGCUCCGGCCGGCCACCGGCCACCCCUUUCCCCAGCGCGCCUGAGCCGUCCGUUUGCAGAUCAAAGGCGCAGAUUAGAUCAUACCCCUUCGGGGUAACUUUUGUUAAAGAGCCCCUGGAAAAGUUGAGAUUAAACCCGCAGUCCAAAACAGGUUUCCCAAAAUACGCUUUCUCCUUUCGGAAUACGUAAACCCGCCGGUUGAUUCUGAAAUACGCUUUCGGUUAUUUACAAGUUUGCCAUUGAAAUGGUUUUGGUCAUAAAAUGCUCAUUUUAACUCCAUUUUUGUCCAUUCAAAUUUCGUUAGAUUCGUAUUCGUGAACUCUACAUGUUAGAAAUAUUAGUUUACUAAUUUGAAACUUUUUAAUAUCCUGGUACUAUUUAAUUAAUUAUUUCUCUAUAGGAAAUCUUGAAAAAUGCAUAACUUCUCCGUUUUAAUUCCGAUUUUCGUGAACUUUACGUUUGUGUGAUCGUAGCGCUGCGUAGAAUAUAUUAGUAAACUUUUAUAUUGGUUUUACUAUUGUUUGGUGUAAUGUUCUAAUUAUAGUUUGUUUGCUUCGUGUAUGAUUGUCUACAUUGGAUUGCAUGUUGUUGAUUGAUGUUUGGGAAUAGACGGUGAGCCGUACGUUGGUGAUCAAGACCAAGCUUUUGAGGACCAGCAGGCUCAGGAGAGCUUUGAUCAAGGCAAGUAUAACUUGGGAUCAUCCUUGUUACCUAUUCACUUAUAACUACACAUAUAUAUCAUAUGCAUGCUAUCACCUUGUCGACCUUAGCAAAAUCAUAGAUGAUUGUUACAUGGAUUCCUUGCUACCUACUUGAUAUGCAUUUGGUGUAGAUGUGCUAGUGCUUGAUAUAAUCCAUGAUCUUGUAAGAUGAUUAAUAUCUAUGCAAUGAACGGUAAAAGAAUGACAAAUAACUAUAUGAGAUCUUGUCUGUAAGUGAUCACCGGGACAACAGUGCAACCAUGAGAGCUAUAAUGGCUCUGGCUUUAGCUCAGUAUGAAGACCUUUUCUAGCUUGUUAGAGGUUACCCGAAAGGGCGGAGGGGCUGAACCGUUUUGGGUAUAGUGCGAGCCCCUGUCCCUAUGUGUAUAGGCUGCGCGUCAUUGUGCCAUUCGGAAGGGGGUUAUCUAUAUCUGCGCGCAAAGAAAACCUUGCGGCCCUAACAUGUUAGACGAACUUUUGAAAGGCUUCAUAGUGAUCCCUGCCGACCUUCCUUGGUAGUGGGCUAAGAGGUCGACGGGCCUCGGGCGAAAGGGUAAAUCAUGACUCAUGGGUAAAGAUGUACAACCUCUGCAGAGUGUUAAAACUAGUAUACUAGCCGUGCUCACGGUUAUGAGCGGCCUUGGGGGUUCCUGCUGCGACGACGAUGAGCUUGUUAAGUUGUUAUGUUCAUUUUAUUAUCGUUUAUGAUAUGAAUUAAUUAUGUUUACAUUUGAUCAUGUGAUUAAUGGAUUAUUACUGCUACCUUGACAUUUGCUAUUUAGUUAUGAACAUGCUAUCCACUAUUAAAAGCUAAAUGCAGUCAAACCAGUGUCAGCUAUUUGAGCCUCAUGAACCCCUGGUUAUACUUGUUGAGUACGAUAUGUGCUCACUCUUGCAAUUUCCCAACACCUCAGGAUAUGAUAAUGAAGAUGACUGGAAUGAGGAUUACCGUUAUGAGUAUUAGGUUUGGAGUCAACCAGUCAACAAUGUCCCUAUGUGGAGCUUCCGUCGAGAGCGUGGUUUACUUUAUGCUAUCAUUUUUGUAUGAGACUAUGUGAUUUACUAUGUUCCGUUAUGUAAUAAACACUGCAAUGGUACAUUUGAGAUUUGUCUAUUUAUAUGUGCGACUGUUUCUGUGGCACAUAUGAGUCUUUUAUGUAUCCUAUUUUGUUCUUAAAAUAUGGGUGUGACAGAUGGGCACAUCGUCUACCCACACCAAAAGAGUUAAUGAUGAUUAUUGGUGCCUCGUGUGUCACACUCCUAAUUCAUGAGCCAUUUUGUUUCUUGCAUUGCUCGUAAACCUUUAGGUUUGACUCGAUUAACGCAACGACGCUCAUCACCCAUGCAUCCAUGCUUCUGUGUCAUCUCCAUGUGUACAGCGUGGAUCAUGCAUGACUUCACCAACCACAUCUCGAUUGCCUGACACGAGAGUAUCGAUCACUUUUUGCCCGUAACAAUAAUCAUGUUCGUUACUGCGACUCGGUAUCUCUCCACAUUUGAAAUUCAAAUUCAGCUACUCUCUCUGUCCUAGAAUCCAUGCUAGUCAAAUUUUUUUAAAAAUUUAAUCAAUUUUAUAGAAAAGAACAUCAAUAUCUAUGACAUAAAAUAAGUAUUUUAUAAAAAUAUAUUAUAAAUCUAAUGGUAUUAAUUUGGUACUAUAAAUCUUACUCCCUCCGUCCACGAAAGAGUCAAUUUCUAGAGUUGUCCUAAGUCAAACUUUUUAAACUUUGACCAAAUUUCUAGAAAAAAAUGCUAAGUUUUAUAGUAUCAUCAUAGAAUAUAUUUUCAUAUAAUGUGUAUUUUAUAUUAUAGAUGUUGUUACUCUUUUCUAUAAAGUUAGUCAAACUUUAAAAAGUUUGACUGGCACGGAUCCUAAGAAUUGAUUCUUUCGUGGACGGAGGGAGUAGCAUUUUUUUCUAAAAAAUCGGUCAAAGUUUUAGAAGAUUGACUUAGGACAACUCUAAAAGUUAAAACUUUGGACAGAGAGAAAGUAUCCUAUAAUUAAUACGAGACACACACACACCUCGGCACGGUUAUUCAAUCUAUCGGAAUGCGUGUUCAAAAAUCUGCAGGGCCGGCCUUUCAAAAGCUAAUUAUCGUGUGGUAAGCAUGAUUUGAUCCAGUAAGCAAAUGGUCCAUGGUGGUACGGCUCAAUAGCUUUACGAGCCUUAACUCGCACACAGCUCAAGCAACAGUAGCUUUAUUUGGUAAAGAUGGUUUAGCUUCCCAUACAAACUUUGGGAUUAAAUCACCCGUCUUAUACAAGUUUAGAGUUUCUUUCUUUAGAAAACAAUGCAAGUUUGAAGACAGUGAUCGAUCGAAGCACGUCAGUGGAACUGUCGCCAAGACCUUGGCCACUUCGCUAGCUACAGAGCUUUGCUGUCUGGUAGAUAGGAAAAAAAACGCAGAAGCUUCACACAGCAAGCUGGCUUAUAUGUGAAGGAAAACCUUUGCCUAGUAUCAGAGAGUUAAUUAAAUCUAUAAACCUUGCAUCUCUAAAGCAUCAGGUGGUAAUUAAAUCUGUAACAACUUGCAUCUCUGAAACUUUCAUACGCCCCAGCUACCAUGGAAGUAUGGAACGAGCUUCUUCUUGCAUAUAUACAUGAUACCCUCUAAUACUUUUGUUCACCUUCGUGUGAAAGAGUUGCUCAAGGAUCCAUGCAUAUAUUAGUAAGUGAGCAACAGUAAGUGCAUAGAACACACAAUUUCUCUCUCUAACAUCAGCAAGAUGAGAAACAGACAGGCCAUGGGCAAAUUUUAAGGUGCUACAUGCGUAUUGCAUAGGAAGCCAGCUGUCACAAAUUAAAGAACAGAGGACACAUGAGCAGAGCAUGGAGGCGACAUGCCAAACGAAGAACAGUGUAAGAAACUGUACCGGAGGGAGUAACAUUUUUUUUAUAAAACUAGUUAAACGUGGAUGUUUGACUCCAUGGAAGUGAUUUUUUUUUCAGAAUGGUGGGAGCAGUUUGGUACUAGGGCUACAUCUACCAGUUCUCUAUAUCUGUUUCUUUUUUUUGUUUUUUUUUUGUUUUUUUUUUUGAAAAACUUCAGUCCUGUAUUUGUUAAUUUGCUGGUCCUGGCUUGGCUUGAGUGCAUGCGCCAGCGCGAGCUAUGUGCCUUGGUCGGUAUAGUAGGAGUUCCAAGAUAUAUAUAAAUAUAUGUAUAUGGUAUAAAUACUAUCAAUAUAUAGCAAAGCAAGCAAGAUACGCCUGCGCGCACGCAUACACACGCCGCUGUAUUGGAGCACUCCACCUGCACGCCUCUCUUUCCGGAUUCCAACCUUUAGCCUUUGUACAUUGCCUUUAUAGAAGAUAAAAUCUCUUAUUACGGAGGUAGAAAUUUUUAGGAGCAGUCUCUGUAGAUGAUCAAUAGGAGGGUCGCAAAAAUGUCCAUCUCUAUUAAUCAUUUAUAGAAGUGAAUAUCCUACAGAGACCGUCUCUAACAGAGAUGUAUGUCCUAAAGCAAUCGACUCUGUUAAUUGGUUAACUAGGCUGGGCUUACUAAAAUGUUAGUCACUAAAAAUGUCUAUUAACAGAGGUGAGCGUCCUACAGAUCUAUCUCGAAAAUUAAUUAACAGAGGUGGAUGUAUGCCUCUAGAAAUAGUUGCAUCAAAAAUAGUUUAUACUUUUUCAUAUUUCAGAUGAAGAAUAACCUUAUACCGAAAUUGUAUAUCUCGACGUGGCCUACAACUUUAUAGUUGAUAAUUUUUUAUUCUAAACUUUUAUUUCCAAAAAAUAUUUUAAUUCUCAUAUUUUGAAAUUUAUUUUAAAAAACUAGGAUGUUGAUACAGUCUAUACCAAAGUUGAAGUUCUCAAUCCAAUUUACAAAUUUGUAGUUGAACUUCUUUUCCAUUUGAAGUUGUCUAGAGUCCCACAUAUGUAUUUAAAGUUCUUAGAUUUUGAAAUUUAAAAUUUUUAAAUGACCUUUUCUUCUUAUUGUAUGUUUAAUGAAAUAACCUAUAUAUAUUAAUAAAUUGUGAAAAUUUCAGUCUGCCAAAAUUUUCUUAUGCCCCAUCUACCCAGCCCGGAAUCGGUCUCCGGCUUGAAUCGGUCUCUCGGUCCGUUUAAAGCUUGGAGGAGAAAAAAAGAAAAUAAAAUAUUUUCUAGGGUUUCCAAUGCAAAAUCUUCUUUUACCUUUUGAUCCGUGGCCUCGGCCGUCGUAGAAAAGUAAAAAGAAAAUAAAUUUUUUUCAAGGUUCCCAAUGCAAAAUCUCCUAUAUUCUAUUAAUUUUCUUUUCUUUUAUUCUUUAAUAUAGCUGAAAAUUAAUAAAUGCAUAGUAAUUCAUAGAAAAUCUAAAAAUUACAAAACAAAUUUUAUUCAGCUCUACAUAUGUUGAUCCAUACAUUAAACAAAAAAUAGGUGCAAAGUGUUUGUCCUAUUAAUUUAUUUUUCUUUUAUUCUUUAUUUCGGCUGAAAAUUAAUAAAUGCGUAGAAAUUCAUAGAAAAAUCUAAAAAUUACAAAACAAAAUUUGUUCAGUUCCACAUAUUCAGAUCCAUGUAGUAAAGAAAAAAUAUCAUAAAUUUUAGUAUAUUUUUUUACUGAAGAUGCUUGCCUAUGCUUUUUAGUGUAAAAUUGAAAUUGUAGUUAUCUUGCUCCAAUUAUUAUAAAAAUUUUAUGGUAGCCUAUUUAAUGUGACGCUUGAUUUGUGGUAAAAGUUUUAGCACCAUUCCUUCAUAUCUCACUGAUUUACUAAUUUACCUAAAUUUAUGCUUGCUAAAUAGUUUAGCAUCAAUUUAAGUAUGUAAAAAUAUAAAAAAAAUAUGCUUCCACUACCUUUGCACAAUGUGUUGUUAUAUCAUAUGACACUUCAUAAGCCCAUGUGUUUAUAAUCUACAUAUAUUUAACUGAUAUAUCAUAUUUUAUAGGAAUCCUAAUCUAAAUAAAAAAAUAAAGCUAGCAACAAACUUUUCAUGUUUUAAUAUAAUACUAUUUUUAUUAUUAAAUAAAUAUGUCUCCAAGCUACAUAAUAUUGUAAAUAUUAACUAUCUCAUACCAUAGAUGUCAUGGUUAUCAAUAAAAUAAAUUAUGGACUUUAAUUUUUAUAAAAAAGAUAAAUAUAAAUAGAUAUGUAACAUUAUGUCAUCACUUUUUAUGACUAUUUGAUGUUUUUCUCCCGUUGCAACGCACGGGCAUAUUUGCUAGUGAAAUAACCUAUUUCUCCUUGUUAGCAUCUUGGGUAUGGUUUAACCAUAAAUGAGGAGGAAGUUGUGCAGAUUUUGGUUAAACCAUACCCAAAGUACUCCCUCCGUCCCUGAAAAAAUCAAUUCCUAAGAUUCGUGCCAGUCAAACUUUUUAAAGUUUGACUAACUUUAUAGAAAAGAGUAACAACAUCUAUAAUAUAAAAUAUACAUUAUAUGAAAAUAUAUUCUAUGAUGAAUCUAAUAAUACUAAUUUGAUACUAUAAAUCUUAGCAUUUUUUUCUAGAAAUUUGGUCAAAGUUUAAAAAGUUUGACUUAGGACAACUCUAGAAAUUGACUCUUUUGUGGACGGAGGGAGUAGUAAGUAAUGAAGGAACUAAUCCGAUUAUUAGGAAUCUAGUUAUUAGCUAUUUUCAACAAAUCCCAAAACUCCAAACUACUAGUUCGGAAAACCUAAACUCCUAAUAACUGACCAAACCCUCCUACACGAUUAGUUAGUUACAAAAGCUUUUUGACAAGAUUACUCGCUGCAAUUUACCGGGUAAACCAAAAGCCUAUAUAUAUAUAUAUAUAUAUAUAUAUAUAUAACAGGAGAGGUACCUGAUACGAGAGGUUGGAGCCCCCUAGCUAGCCCUCACGCUGGAUCCGCCACUAAGAAAGAAGAAUCAAAUCUACACGCCACACAUCACAAAUCAUGGUAGUAGUAGUGAUGACUAGAGAGUAAUCCAAGUUGGCAUGAAUAAAUGGUUCACAAAAGUCAAUCUAAUUAUUUCCUAACCCCACAAAUUGAAAUCGGGGAGAUCAGUGAACAGGGACACAUAAUCCCAGCUUUUUCUCAGAAUCAAAUUAAAGAUGAUUUUGCCACCAUCAAGAGAGAUGUGUACACGUCGCAUAUGGUCCUGUAGCCGGUGCGCGACGUAUUUGCUGGCAUGCAUACACACUCCUACGUACACUCCUACUGUACGUACGUGGUCGGGCGGCCAUGUGUAAUACCCGAUUUUAAGGACAAAACCAGAUAUGCACCAUAUGUGAAUUUUAGAAGUCAAAUCUCACAUAUAGCUACAAAUAAGGGUUAAUAUCAAAGAACAAUGCAUAAAUAUAUAACGUACAUAAUAUUAAAGAGAUAACCUUUAAUAGCAAACAACGGAUAGACAACUUUAAACUUCGGGUAUUAACUCCUCUCCACAGGAUCCAACUGACUGGUUGAUCACAAGCCCAAAACUUCUCCUGAGGUGUGGGGGGAAAUUGCAAGAGUGAGCACAUAUCGUACUCAACAAGUAUAACCAGGGGUUCAUGAGGCUCAAAUAGCUGACACUGGUUUGACUGCAUUUCGCUUUUAGUAGUUGAUAGCAUGUUUAAUCAUUGGAUAGCAAAUAUCAAGGUAGCAUAAAUAAUCCCAUAACCACAUGAUCAAUGUAUACAAGAAUUAAGAAUAACACAUAUAAACAACAUAAUAAACCAUCAUUUAUUAUCAUUAUUCACAUUCAUCAGUGUCCAUCUAUUCCGUCAGUUUUCCGGGCCGCCCGUAUCCGUGGGCACGGCUAGUAUACCAGAUUUAACACUCUGCAGAGGUUGUACAUCUUUACCCAUGAGUCGUGAUUUACCCUUUCACCCGAGGUGAUCAGCCUCUUAACCCACUACCAAGGAAGGUCGGCAGGGUUCACUAUGAAGUCUUUCAAAGGUUCGUCUAACAUGUUAGGGCCGCAAGGUUUCCUUUGCGCGCAGAUAUAGAUACCCCCCUUCCGAAUGGCACAAUGACGCGCAGCCUAUACACAUAGGGACAGGGGCUCGCACUAUAUCCAAAACGGUUCAGCCCCUCCGCCCUUUCGGGUAACCGCUAACAAGCUAGAAAAGCUUACUCAUACUUGACUAAAGCCAGAGCCAUAUAGCCCUCAUGGUUGUACGAGUUGUCCCAGCUUUUGCCAAGGGAUAAGUCCUUAUGGAGGGUCAAGAUCAAUCCAGCAAAAGCCAGAGUUCUUUCCACCCUUUAUAUUCAAGUUGCUAUAAAGCUUAUUUUAUUGUUUAUUGCAUAUUCAAUAUUCAUGUUACAAGAUCAUGGAUUAAUAAUCAAGCACUAGCAAGAACUACCCAAAUGCAUAUCCAAAUAGGUAACAAGGAAUUCAGGAUAACAAUCAUCUAUGAUUUUGCUAAGGUCAUCAAGGUGGACACAUGCAUAUGAUAAAUAUUGUAUUAAUUGUGUAUAGGUAACAAGGAUAAUCCCCAGUUAUACUUGCCUUGAUCAAAGCUCUCCUGAGCCUGCUGGUCUUCAAAGACUUGAUCUUGCUCACCAACGUAUCGCUCACCGUCUAUACCCGAUCAUCAAUCAACAACACGCAAUCCAAUGUAGACAAUCAUACACGAAGCAAAUAAGCUAAAAUUAGAACAAUACACCAAACAGUGGUAAAUAAAAGAUAAAAGUUUAUAAAAAUAUUCUACGCAGCGCUACGAUCACACAAACGUAAAGUUCACGAAAAUCGGAAUUAAAACGUAGAAGAUAUGAAUUUUCUAAGAUUUCCUAUAGGUAAAUAAUUAAUUAAAUGCUACUGCAGAAAUAAAAAGUUUCAAAACAGUAAACUAAUAUUUCUAACAUGUAGAGCAUAAAAUUACGAACCUAACGCAAUUUGAAUGGAUAAAAACGGAGUUAAAAUGACCACUUUAUGGGCAAAACUAAUUCAAUGGCAGUUUUGUAAAUAUCUGAAAACGUCUUUCAGCACAGCCCGGCCGGUUUCCAGCUCCGGCACGGUGGCGCGCCAUGGGCGCCACCCGGAGGCUCGUCGGCGCACAGUGACUUCCCGUUUCCGAGCACCGUUUCGAGAAAGAAAAACUCCGGGAUGACGAGCAGCUCACCGCGACUUUACCUAUGCACUUGGUUCGGCCCGAGGUGGAGCAAGGAGAGCUUACCGCGGUGGCGCUAGGAUUUGAGCACGGCGAGAUCCGAAAGAACGUGACAGAGGCGUCUAGGGCUCGGAUUAAAGAGCUUGGGGACGAAAAGGGGCAUGCGGGGUUGAUUUAGGAGUCUUAUAGGGGCAUACCGCGCGGAUUUGGCAAGGGUAGCAAGGAAUCCCGAGAUUUCUCGGAUUUCCGUUUGGAGACCAACGAGAAACCCGGCUCGGUCACGUUGGAGAAGAAAGGAGGGGGAAAGGAGUCGCUGCCAAGCGGGCCCGUGCUGUCAGCGAUAGGAGAAGGGAGGGAAGGGAAGCGGGCCGCGCGCGGUUGGGCCGGGGAGUUGGGCCUCGGCUUGGAUUCCAGGAGCUUUCUCUUCCUUUUUUUUUAUUUCUUUUCUGUUUCUUUUUCCAAAUCCUUUCCAAAUAGAAUUUUGAAAGCACAAAUUAUUUCUAACCAACAGAAAU